UCCGGAAAACACAACACUCGAAUCCGUACAAAAUAGCGGCGACACAACAGCUACCGCGACGUGGACCGCUUCAGCCGAUAUUCACGACCGGACGUCAUUCACCGUCAUUGCACACCAGUCGAGUAAGUUUUUUAGUUUUUCUCCCCCCCAAAAAAUUUUCGUUAACAUUUUCGUCCGUCUCUGUUAUAAUUCUAUUCCCUCCCUCCAGUUUAGCGCGCGCGCCAUCGUGCACCUGUUCGGACGCCACCGGGAACAGCAAUCGCCGGGGACAGUUGGAAUUUUUUUUUAUUUUUUUUUUUUUUUCUAAACGUUACACGGGUACGGCCAAAACGAAUUUUUCGCGGGUCAAAUGCGUUUCACUGGUGAAAUUUUUUUUUUUCGUAAUUUUUUCCCGGGUUUUUUAUAGGACGGCCACGUCCGAAAAUAAUUGUAUUUUUUAUGCUCGCGUAUUUACGUUCGCCUGUUCAAUUAUUUAACGCGUCGGACGCAAUAGGUGCGAAAGGGGUGAAAACCAGUUUCGUUUAAUUAUUUCCGUCCCGCGCCUCUUCAAAAGCGUAUCGCGCAAAGAAAAUAUUAAAACAAUAAGACGCGUACGCUUUUUUUCCAGUACGAGGAAUUUUCAAUACUUUUUUUUUUAACUCCUUAAAUAAUAUUAUAACGACGGUGUAGUUUAUUUUUGGUGAAUUUAAAACGAACGAAAUGUAACGAAAAAAAAUUAAAAUAAAUAUUAAUAAUAGUAAAAAAAAAAACCCCACACUCGAAAACAAAUAAAACAAAAUAUCAAAAACGCCCGCUGAUAUUUUUUAUACAUUAAUUAGGAUAGUUUUUUUUUUUUAAGUUCAAUAAGUAUAUGCGAUAAAAUAAUUUUUGAAAUUUUCCCCGUUAUUAACAAAUAAAUCUAGUAAUUCGAAAUGUACGGAAAAAUAACAGUAGCUACCGAUUUAUGUAAUUACCCGCGACGGGAUAAAAAACUAAAUAAUUAUUUUUCAUAAAACCGAAAUGAUUUUUAAAAAAUAAAUAAUCACAGUAAUAAUAGUAACGUAAAAAUGUUCACUACUUAAAACUUGUUAUUAUUUUCGACGACCAAACGACGGAGAUAAUUUUUGAUUUUCUAUAUUUUUUAUUUUUGUUUCGAACUGUAAAUUAAUAUUUAAAGGUAUUACGAACUUUAUUUCAACGAUAAAAAAACUACUACGGCCAGUAUAAUAAAUGAAAACAUCGCCUAGUUUAAAACGAAAAAAAAUAAAUAUUAAAAAUAUUAAAAUUAAAUUUAUCGUAGGUACAUUAUUAUUAUUAUUUUAUUGAGUCGAUAAUUAAAAGUCAAUUAAUCUUUGGAAAUUUUAAUUUAAAAAAAUGCACAAUACCACGACGAAUAAUAUUAUCAAUUUGUUUAAUUUUUCCCGCAAUAAGGACUUGAACAAUAAUUUCGAAUAAGGACGACGAUUAUUUUGAUAAUUUUAAUAAAUCCGAAAUAAUCGAAGGGAUUUAACACUUAUGGAAAAACGACUCGACUGGACAAAAAGGGUGAUUAAUUUUUAAUUUUUUUCCGGAAAUCUCCGACACCGUGGAAUAAAAUAUUGUUUCGUCAAAAACUCGGUAUUUGAUUAUAUUUCCGAAAAAAAAAAAUGAUUGUUGUAAAAUUAUUUUAUUCGUAACAUAAUACUAUUGUCGCGUUAAACACAACGAAAAGGGUAGUAAGUUAGUCUGUCUGUCAUUUAAUGUCCCCACGGCGUAUAGUGUGGCGCGCUCUAUGAACCUUAUUUCGUCGCCAUUCGUGUCUAGGUAAACGCAGAUAAAUCCCGCGGUCGUUUGAAACGAACAGACAAAUAAUAUAUUUUAUCACGCGUAUCCGUCUGUCGGAAUUAUUAAUCUCGGCAGAUUUCUAAUUUUUCACAAGUCCGACGGAUCAAUUUAACGAAUUCUGCUCGUGUGUUUUUCGUACGGCGACGACGAGGACGCGAUAUAUUUAGUUCAUUACGACGCGCUCGUUUCUCCGAUAGAUGUCACGACGUGUACGCCAGAAAAUCAAAUAUAACACUGGUAUUAUUAUAUUAAGAAAAAAAACCCGAGAAAUCAAAUUGUGUUCCAAUAACGCCGCCGUUGUUCGGUCUUGCGUACUUAUAUUUUAACCUAAUAAUAUUUUUCGCAGGUUUCUUUUUUUUUUUCGUCGUGUUGAAAAUUUGUAUUGAUCUCCCACCGCCGUCGGAAUAAAGACAAUGAUAUUUAACGACUCGCACGAUUACAAUCAACCCUCGAAAUCGGUAUAGGUAUAAUUUUUCACGAGCGGCCCGGUUUUAAAUUUCGCGCGUAUACACUUUGCGCGAUUUCGAACGCGAAACGAACGUUUAAUCCGAUUUGCAAAACGUUUCCAACGGCCGUGCAGUAAUAUUAUUGUAAUUUAAUCGACGGCCGUUUUGUCGGAAUCCAUUUAUACGUCGAUACAUAAAUAAUUUUCAAAUGUCCACGGUAUUUUUUGCUCGCUUGCUUGUUGGAAAACUUAAAGUACAAAAUGUAUCACCGCGGACAACACACUACGACUUUCAAUAACAGAGUUCGAACGAUUUUUGAUUCGAGAACUCGCACAAGAAAAUGUCUUCAAUUAAACCUUAAAAAACUUAAAUUGAAUUUCGAAUUUUGAAGUUUGAAUUCAAUUUUUAAUGAAAGACGGAGAAUCAAUCGCCGAACGCUGUUUCGUUUUCGCGGCGAAAAAACGCUUCUUGACGUUUUUUCGAUCGGAGCAACGGCAGAAACAUUGUUCGCAGACGAAAGACGGAAAGAGGUUGAAAAAACACACACACACACUCAUCAUGAUAUAACCAACGAGUUACACGAUAUGUAUGCUCAGAAUCUAAAACGCUGCGGUUUAAAACAAGAAGAAAAAAACCUAACCGUUUGCCGCGCGUAAAACCACAAGCGAAAAUUGUACCGCGACCGUACAAUAUUAAUCGCAACAGACCGUACGGCUAUAAUCGUAACCGAACUAAUAUUUUUUAAUCGGGGUUGCGAUGUGAUGUUUUCGCCCAGGUAUUUAUCGAUUUUACGCGUAGCGAUUACUCUCGCGGUGUUUAGGAAUUGCAGUUACGAAUCGUGGACACGAAUGCGCGUUAUUUUAGACGAGCUCCCGGCUUUGUAAAUACCAGGUCUCGGGGACUUUGCGCGUUUAAAAUCCGUAAAGAAAAAAGGGGGGGGAAAACCUAUUGCAAAAGAAAAUAAUUGUUUCGCUUCAAUCAUUGUGGUGUUAGAAAUUUUGUGUUUAACGAGUUGGAGCAGUCGGAGUUGGCAGACUCACGACCACCCGUCCGCUGUUUUUGCUUUUUAAACAUAAUUAUAUAUCUUCUUUUUUUUUUUUUACGGUGAUUAAAAUCGCCGGUACAUAACGCGGGCGGUCGGUAGUAAACGCGGCGGUACAUUUGGUUGCCGCGGCCCGUCCGCCGAAGGGGUAAAACCGAUUUGUCGCCGACGACGUUGGCAGGGUUUUAUCGGCGAUACCGUCGCAACCGGGAUUAUUAACCCCCGUGAAAUUCCACGCUCCAUUUUGCCUUCUCCGCUAAAUUUUCCCUAGUGAAAUUUUCCCGGGGGGGGGGGCGGAGUAAACAUUCGCUAGUGACAUUUCCUCCUCCCCCAACCGAAUAUUUUACAGAACGGUGAAAUUUCACACGGUAAAUAAUCGCGGGUAAACCGAUGAACGGUUCGCCGAAACGGUUUGUUCGCUGCAUUAGCGGCCGUUCGGAACACGUCCGUUUCGUCGCAAACACGACGCAGACAAUAAUAUCGUUGGCGGCGCACGUUUCGUCGGACGUUGACGAAACAUCCCGCGCGCGUUUCGGCCGUGCGUUUUCCGUGUAAACCCGGUGACCGCCGAUACGGUUUAGCGGACAAACCGUUCUUACCGGCGUUGUACUACGAUAAGCCGAUGCGCUUUUCGACGGUACCCCGGCUGUAAGAAUCGGCGCAAAAACGAGACGAGCCCGUGUUUUUCGAUAACUCGUUGUAAUCGUUCGCCUUGCGCUUUCCGGAACCGACUCGGUUUUCGACGGAACAAAACCCGGAACACGUUCCAACACGGAUUAUACGGAAUCGUAAUCCCGUUCCCGUACGGGUAAUUCGUCGCGGUCGAAUUUAAAAAAAAGGAACUUUUUUUUAAACUUUAAAUUUACCGUUUUAUUCGAUUUGGAUUUCAAUUAUUCUGUGAGGAUUCCUAAACUAUACUUGCGAUAUCGUCUGGGCACAUUAUUUUGUAAAUAUGUGUACGCAGAGACGAAAGUUUUAUUUUUUUUUUAUUUUUAUUCUUUAUCAGAUUACGUACAAACCGAAUCGCUCGUCUUUGCAGAUUAUUACCGCAUACCGUACGGUAAACGCGGUGACGCAUUUAUAAGCCCCCCGCGCGGGUCAAACGAAACGCAAACAAACUGCAGUUUACCGAAAAUCAACACGUUCGGAUGACAGUCGGCGUUUCGACAAAACGGGGCAAACGCCCCCCCCCUCCCCCGUUCCUCCGAUUUCCCGUCUAUAAACGCGUGCCGGAUUUCACCGAUGGAAAUUUGUACGGCUUGAUAAACGGCGGCGGUUCGGUAAUAUACCGGACGAGUGCGGAUUUGGCCUCGGGUGGGGAGGAGUGGGAGGGAGCGCGAGUAGGUGGAAUGGAAAGAAAGUCGUGGCGGCGGGUGUGCCGGAAAAGACGACCGCAGUGGCGGCGGCGGGUGCCGGAAAAGACGGCGGCGGCGAUUACUACAUUAUAACGUCUAUAUAUUCGUAUAUAGGUAUUACAAUAUAUAUAUAUAUAUAUUUAUUGGUAGCGGCGUGCUGACCAAUAAGAACGCGCGGGCGGCGGCCGUUCGGACAAAACAAGGGAAGUCGUUAAAGUACGCGGAAAUUUCCGUCCGCCAAUCGCGCCCCUCCCGUAACCCUCCCCCGCGUGCCGCGCGACCCUCGGCGACACCGUCUCAAACGCGCGGCGCACCCUUAUUACGACACUGUACGCGGCGACGGCGACGGCGACGGCGACGACGACGACGACGACGACGACGCGACCGUCACGACUCGCGACGACCAACGACUUUCUAUUAUUGUAAUGACAACAAUAAUAGUCGUACGCAUUAAUAUAUGCCGUUAUGUAUACCUACACUGCGCUAUGUGCGCUGCAUUUGUUUCGCCGCGAUAAUUACCACGAAUAUUAGCAUAUAAUAUUCUACGCUGCACUAUUUUCGCGCGCAUACAGGGUGCUUCCCGAACGAGGAUGCACUACACCGGGGGCAGGCAAUACAGGCUCGCGGCUCGCGGAGAGGAAAUAAACGGACCCGCUAAAAUUUAGUUUUACUUUAACGGUGGUUUUUCGUUUUCGCUAUUUGUCUCCGCGUGCAGAUCGAGAAUAUCCGAGCGUCCGAACGUAAAACGAAUGUAUUUAUGAUAUAAUGUUUGGUGUAUUUGCAUUUUUGUUUAUGUUUUUUCUGGAGGUUUUAAAUAAGAGAGAACACCAAAUAGAUAGAAGUUGAAUAUUUUUUUUUUUUUUUGCUCAGCUCCGAAAAUAUACGGUCCGCGAACAUUUUUGUUUCAAAUUAUCCGGCGAUAUUUUCAUCUAGAUUCGCUCGGCGUUUAUUUAAAAUUGUUAAUAACCGCUCGAUAUUAUUCGCGAGAUUUCCAUGCGCGGAUCGAAUCGCGCAGCCGUUUGUUUUUUUUUUUCAUUUUUGCUCUAUUCGGGCGACAAGAACACGUCUCGAAAACGCGGCGACAAUGAUCGGUUCGUACGAGAAACGUCCUCGAGACGAAUAUCGACGAAACCGGUCGUUGAUAGCUGCAAUGCAUUAGGAGCCGAAAUUGUUUUUUAUAAAGCUAUUAUUACCCGUACGGCGUUUAUUCGAAUACCUAGGUAGCGAAAUCCACCGAAAUCCGUACGUGAUAAUAUAUCGACCGCCGCACUCGAAUAAUUCCGUUUUCGACUAUAUUGUCACACGCGCCAUUGAAAUAACGUCGAAUAUAUCCGUUCCGGCUUACCCGAGCUGUCAUUUUUUUUACGGAGCUCCUUGAAAACAUCGUCGACGCGCCGCCGAAAAUCUGUAAAAACCGAAUUAUUCCGAAAAUAUCGCGGUCUUUCGGACACGCCGCUGAGCUGCCAAGUUCGUUUCAGAAACACCCUGUAUAUACGGUAUACAGACGAGGGUUUGUACAUUAUAAUAUUAUCACCGGGGUGCGUGAAUGUGUAUAUGUACGUGUGUGUGUGUGUGGACGAGAUGAUUUGCAUGUAAAACAAUAAUAUAGCAAUAGGUACUGUGUGUAUGUGUGUAUUAUUGUCUCCUUCGACUUUGGGUCGGAUGUGCUGACGAUGUUUUAGCCGCGUUUUCGCGCUGAUCCGCAGCGGCCUAGGAGGACGUCCAUCCGAUUGGUACCCCAAUUUUUUUUUUAUUAUUAUUUUAGAUACUCAGCGGAGCGAGGAAAGUAUUGGUUUUACAAUGGUUUUUUUUUUUUUUUUUUUAUAUACUGUGUACAACAUUUCUCCUAAAAAUAUUAUUGUCGUUGGUAACCGUUAUUAUUUAUUUAUUGUUAUAGUUAAGUUUUUAUUAUUUCAAUCUUUUUUUAACAAUCGUCGUUGCCGUAAAAAACGCAUAUUAUUUUUGCAAAAUAAAUACUAUAUUGACCGAGUUCCGCUCAGAAUCGUUUUUUCAUAAGAAAUGAUUAAUCGUUAUGUAUACGUAUACAAAUUGAAUACCUUCUCUGCAUCUAUUACCUUCCCAACUUCUGACCUAGACCAGUAGCCCACCCGUGGUGCGAAGUAUGUCCGUCCGUUGUUUAUGCGUGUCUCCAAUUCCACCACCACCAGCCCACCCCCCCCCCACGGUUUAUAAAAGACUUCUCGUUUAUAUUUUUUGACCGCAUAGUUCUCGUUACAUAUUCGUGUAGUAUAGGUAGGCAAGCUAUUAUAGUCCGUCAAAUUCCGUGACGUUUCCUGUAACGGAAUUGCCGAAAAAUUCGAUUUCCGACAGUCUCGCCGAAACCGUUACUGUUACCAGACCGAACACAAUAUUGCGGUAACUUAAUUCGUUUCGUUUUUUCUUAUACAAUAUACGUAUAUUACAGCGCGGAUUUGUUAUUGUUCUUUAACCAUUUUUUUUUUUUUGAUUUUCGUAAAAAAUACGUGCGUUAUUAUUAAAAAAAAAAAAAAUAUAUACGUUACUUUUCGUAUUUUCGUGCGGAUCGCACGAAUUGACAAUUGCGAGUCGCAGCGGGGGAAAAAAAACCCGUCGGUCAUCGUCGACGACAACUUUUAAACCGUAUAUAAUUGUUUUUUUUUCCCGUCGUUUCCACCGACGAAUAUUGCAGGCGCGAAUAGCGGGCGAGGAGAGCUUCGUUCUACGGUCCCCCCGUCGUCCAAAUCGAGUGUUUAUCGCGUCGUUAUUAGUGAUUGGACAACACUGCAAGGGUGUUCGGCAGCCUAUCCCGAAAUAUUCGAUAGUCUACCGACUGUGCGUUAUGCGACUUAAUUGUGCACUUUUCACAACAUGCAAAUCCGCGCCUUGUGAUUUACGCCCGACGUCCGCAAUGCGUUCGCCGUCGCGUGAUUGGUGUGCACGCGAGAAAUCGGUGCACCUCACAUGUCUCGAUCGCACGCGCGCGCCCCGAUAACGUUAUAAACAGAUCGGUCGUACCGCGCGCAGCGCACAACCGCCGACCGGCAGAGAAAAUCUGAGACGAAAAUGCGUUCGAAAUUCAUCUAUUGUUUUCCGGCCGGACAAAUGUCGCGGCGGUUGGCUUUUCCCGCGAGCUAAUAAUAAUAAGUCUCGUCCGGUUAAACAAUCCGUGUUAAUAAUAAUUACAAACGGUAAAUUAAACAGAUGUCGAGCAUCGAGUCACUGUACUAUACGUUUUUGUAUUUUUUUGUUUUUUUUUUUUUUGGGGGGGGAGGUUAAAUUAAACAGGGAAACACGGCGAAAGACGCGUUAUUGUUUUUUUAUCGGCCGUUUCUGUUACUAUUCUGUUGUACUGCAGGGCGGUUUUUAAUAUCGGUUAGCGGUUAGGUGGAGGUGGACUACUAAAAGUAUCUUGCCGAAUCGAAUUUUACGCAAAUUUAACGAAAAUCGGUCGGACGUAGUGCCGGGGACGGGGGGUGGGGGGGUGGGGAGGAGAGGAUAGUGCAUCCUAUACUCCUACUGCAAUUUCGCGUAUUUAUGUAAAAUAUAAGUCGGUCGGUGUCCAUUAUACGACAUUAGGAAAUUAAAAACGAAAUGUACGGAAACUUCGCGUGUAGGUACAAUGUACGCCUGCACAGUACAUUAUUGACGUUAAUGCGUGCCCAUGUUUAAUACCGUAUUAAAGGUCUGGAUAUAAAAAAAAAAAUACUUGAAGUGUUAAGUUAAAGGGCCUUUCCGCGGCAUUGUUUUAACGUGUGUUUAGACGGCGGCGGCGGCGGCGGCAGCGGCGACUGCGCGUAUUCGAAAUUAUACGUUAAACAUAAUAUAAUAAUUAUAUUAUAUUGUAUACUUUGAUUUGAUUCGACAAUUAUGUUUGGGAAAACAAAUAAAACGCUUUUUAUUAAUACUAUCAACGUAUAAUAAUUAUUAUCAUAUAGUAAUUCACUAUGAAAUGAGUAAAAUUAUAAUUUAAAUAAUUGGUAUUUUUUUUUUCUUUUUCAUUUUUCGACAAUACAACUAAGUGUAAAAUUUUAUUAUGAUACGUCGUGAUAAUCAUGAAAUACUUUCGAGAUUGAAACGGUUUAACAAAAAAAAAAAAAAAUCUUUGUGUUAUGUCUCAGCAAAUCCGUAUACACGCUCGAACGAGUUUUUUUUCACAAAUAUUACAAAUGUAAACGAAAUACAUUCGAAAUAUCCAGAGUCGUAUACCUAAAUAAUAUAUUACGUUGACGGACAAAACAACUUUUUGUACGGGCAUUUCUCUUUUCUAUAGGGUUCGGAUUCGGAAGCAAUACAAACGAUAAAACAAAAAAUACACCCAUCCCACCGUUAAAAUGUGAGAAAAGGCAUUUUUUUUUUUUUAAUCUAUUUAUUCAGUAUGUUUCUACGAAUAAAUUAGCGUGUUAAAAUAACAAUCAAACAAAUUCGCGAUCACAUAAUAUUCUUCUAAGUUUAUUCAAAUAUUCUUAUACUGUAUACUUGCUAAACUGAACCACGACGGUUUUGCCCCCACGCUUUAAACGCAUUGUUUAAAAAACAAUUCAAUAUUACACGACAUGACGAAAAACCGAAACACACAUUAUAAAUAUUUUACAAAAAACUAUUAAUUUUUUAAUCAGUAUUAGUAGAAAGAGUAGAUGAACGAUUUUGUCCCGAACAUGUUCUUAACUAUUUUUUUAACAAUUAAAAAUAAUAAUCUUUUACCGAUUACACCGGCGAUAAGUAUAUGGCUGCGGUCGCUUUGAUUGAUUCGUACAAAUUUGGGCGUCGUUAUCGAUAAUUUAUUUUUCGAAAUCGUUAUCGGCUGCUAAUCGAUUUUCCAAGAUUCGUCCCGUUUUUACAUCGGAACUUCCGGCGCAUAACCGCUUUAAACAGUCAUUGCCGAUUGCCGUCCGUAUUCUAUUCGAUUAUCUUACGUAUUAGUGUACGCAAAACAGAAAACUAAAGCGUUGUCGAUAUUCAAAAUUUGUAAUCCGCAGAAACGGCAGUGUAUUAACGUCGUUAUUAAUUUCAAACACCGACGAUGACGCAGCGCUCACAGUCGAUAUAACGAUCGGAAAGUGGCGACAAUAUUAUUGUGUAGUGAUAUCGAUACAAAAACUCAGUGUUGUUUUGUAAUUCUAUUUAUUUAUCGAAAUUCUCGGAGUGUUAUUUCGGAAGUCGGCAGUUCCACCUAUUUGCUCCCACGAAAUAACAUAGAUAAUAUUAUACUCUUAACACACAAUAGUUUGCGAAUUAAUCGCCGUCGUCUCUGUCGUCUCUCCGAUACGUCUAUGACUCUGUUGACAUUAACCGAAAUCGAUGUGUUCAGCGACUUCGCCGUUAUUAUGCGGAUUCGCCGAGUUCAAUCAGUGUACACAUUAUAUUAUUUAUUUUAUUUUAUGAAUUAUUGUUAUUUUUUUUUUUUUUUGUUUUAUAACGAGUACAAAAAAAAAUUGUUUAAAAACCGAACGUUUACGGGCUUAAAAGUGAAUAUAUACACGUCGAUACGUAAUUUAUAUAUAUAUAUAUGCAUAUAUGGUAGAUGAGUAUAGUUUUUUUUUUUUUCAAUUCCAAAUACAUAAUAUACAUAUAAUAUACCUAUCGGAUUCCGACGGUGAUGUAUAUUUAUUUUUUCGAUUAUUAUUUACUCUAGCCGCAAAAACUGCGCUCGAUCGGUUCGCGUGUAUUAUAAUAUAUACAGGACGUCCCAACGGAGAUCUGACGAACGCAACAACUCUUGUUCCGUUCAAUGGUUGAAGAGACUUUUAUUUACCCGUAAUAACAAAAAACGACUAUUAGAGCCUUUCCCUGUACGAUUUCAUUAUUUUCCAUGUACUUUUAGUAUUUCUGUUCGGAACUAGAAUGCGAAAAACCGUAGAGGAAAAAAAACAUCGGAAACGAAAUAUUAUGUAUCGAACUACGCGUCAACAGUGAACGCGUUUGUCGGGACACCCUGUACGUACGCGGCGUAUAUGACGUAUAUACGCGUAUACGUAUCGUAAUCAAAACUCGAUACACAUAAUAUACACGCACGUAUAUAUUACGUAUACAUUGUGAAAACAAAACAAACUGCGGACUUUGAUACGGCAUUGCUCGUCCGAGGAGAACACCCGACACACCGCCGCCGGGUCAUUCGUGUUUAAUAACAAUAACGGGGGCGCCCGUACACCGCGGAGACAAGAAACAAUACCGUCGCUCGCUCGCUCGUGAACACGGGCGAACCCGGGACGAUAGAUUGUAAUGCGUGUGCCGAGGACGCGCGGUAUACACGGCGAAUAAAAGACAAGACGGCGACUGCGUGAGGAUAUUAAUCCGGGAGUAUCGCGCCCGCGCUGCUCUAGCGUAUAAGGGGGGGGGGAGACGAUGGAGGGAAAAAGGGGAGGGGGCGGGUGCGGAAGGAAAGGCUUUAUUUUAACGCGAGGGCAUUAUUAAUGUGUACGGUGCGCGUCUCGCGCGUGCACACAAUCAUAGGCCACGCCGUGGCCGCCUCCGCGAAAAGAUGAAAUCUUUAAUGCGAAUUUUUUCCCCGCGCGUUUAUUAUUUUUUUUUUUUUUUUCAUUUUUUUCCCUCCCCGCGCACCGCACUCCGCGCUAUAUUAUAUUCGUCACCGCCGCCGCCGCCGUCGUCGUCGUCGUCGCCGUCGUCUCCUGCUGCUCUGCUGCUGCACCGCCGCCGCCGCACGGCGUUAAGACAAAAGAAGUUCGCCCCAACUGCAUCGUAUGCGGCGGCGGCGGCGGCAGACGUAUCGAUAUCGGGGGUAGAGGACGCGCAAAGUGUCGCGGUAAAUCGAGGGAAGAGACAGUGGGGGGGGGAGUUGUCGGGGGCGUAAGGGAGGGUAUGGCGUAGACGACGAAAGUAGGCAGACAACGUUAAGAGGUCUAUAAUAUACUGCACGCGCGAGAGAGUGCAACGGCGGCGGCGGCGGUGACGACGACGACAAUCCUUGAGGACCUCGUGCAUCGGGUGACUGAUGUAAAGUGAAAAAAAAAUCAUCCCCGCGCCCACGCGAUGAUGCCUACUCGACGGUGUUUUUUCCUCUUUUUUUUUUUUUUCCAUAAGAAGUGCCCCCGAGACACACAAAGAGAGACACGUGAUAAUAAGACGGUCACGCGGGAUGACGGGCGGCAGCGCGCGGUCGCGGCAUUAUAAUAAUAAUAUACCUACGUUAUUCGUGUAUAUACGUACUGCAUGUUAUACACGUGCGUAUACUUCGAGGGUCGGCGCAAGUGCCGAAGCAAAAUACGAACCGCGACCGAUAAAAAAAAAAGAAAUAAAUAUAAAAAGUACCGCCGCGGGCGUGUUUUUUUUCCGCCCCCUAAUUUUUCGUGUCUCCGCGCGCAAUCGUUUUCGCGUUGCGGCUCGUCACCGCGCCGCAGACGGCGGCGGUUUUCGCGCGGCUUACCCGAAAAAGUAUUUUAUUGAGUACGCCGUCGUCUGGGGUUUUUUUUUUUUUACAUUUUUUUCGUUCGCUGGUCGCGUGUUUAUCACGCGCUACCUUUCCGCCGGAAACGGCCCGUGAUACAUCGCAGUGCAACAAUAUAGUCAUACAAAGUCGCGAAAAUGUGAAACGUUCCAAUUUGUAUACUUUUUCGAAAUAUUACGAUGACUUGGAAAAACUGUAAAACUAUAUAAAAACCGUACACUAUAAAAUAACUCGACCGGGUUUUUUUGUUGUUGAACGAGUAAAACUAUGCAAUGUAAUAGCUAAAUUAUAAUAGUUACACGCAAUUUUUCAUUAAAAUCGAGCGGCGGAUUUGCGUAGCGUCGCGUUUUCCAUCGUGGUCCUGAAAAAUCAUACUGACGCCUAUUUUCUCGACAACAUUUUAUUUUAAAUAACGUCGUUGCUUAGAGGGGUUGGCGCAAUUCCUACAAUUUUUCAUGGAUCUAUUUUUUCAGGGUUAAAUCGUCUUAAAAAGAUAAUACACCGUGAUCCAACCAUCUUAUACAAUAUUUUGUUAUUUUCAUGGAACACUCGUCGGAAAAAUUAUAUUAGAUAGUGUCAAGGCCGGUCUGGGUAGGGUCUGACCUACUAUCCCAGGUACAAAGGCGACCCAGCUCGAUUUUUGUUGAUGGCCUUUUUUUAUGCCUUAUCAAAUGUUGUUUAAAUGCGAGUAUGUAUACAUUAUUAUUAUGUUGCCAUUUUAAUGAAAAACGAAUCAUGAAUGCGAGUAGACUCUGUCUCAUUGUCUCCUGUACAGUCCAUGACCUUUUUGGGCACCGGCUCACAAUCCAACUAAAGAACAGUAGAGCUGUACUGGUCCUGCCGUUCGGCCCUGGGUAAUUUACACGGAACUUUUGCGGUACGGGUAAAUUAUUUCUUUCGGUUUUCCGAUGACGACCGUUGUUACAUUAUAAUAUAUGCGUGUAUAUUGUCGUGAAAUGUGUCGGCCGCCGAGCAAUUUGUAUUUAAAUUUAUAAUUUUAAACGAUGCCGAUGACUUAUUUGCUUGACAAUAUUGAUAGUUUCGCACCGUCGGUGACGGUAUAGCCGGCUAGGUUACCAACCUAUACCUCAAUUACCUAAUACGAUGAGUUACCGUAAACAUUUUAGACCAAACACUUAUCGCUACAUAUACAAACCGUAUGGCGUAGGUACCUGCAGCUAUACAUUGCAGUUGUAUUGCGUAUAUAGGCACUCACCUACGGGUAAAAGAGAAAUUUUACCGUUUUAAAGAUUAUAAUAUCUAUUAUAUAUAAUAUAUAUAAUAAUUACAGUGCACACUUUUAAAAUUAAAAAAGUUACUACCAGUUAUACGUAUACCUUAUACAGCGAAACACGGACGGACGAUUCAUUGAAACCGUUAGCAUAAAACGAAAACAAAUAUACCGUCGCGAUCUUGAAAACUGUUGAAAAUUAUACAGGUAUAUACAAAAAGAAAUUAGAAAAUAACGCAUAAAUAGGCGUAUUUUUAAAUUGAAGUUUUUUUUUUUUUUGCAAUCUUAUUUUUUUAAAUUUGUGUACAUGUAUGUAUAUUUUAAUAAUUUUACAUUAAUUGUAUGUAUAAUAUACAGCUGCGAGUAUUUAUUUAUUUUUUUCAAAACGUUGUCGUCGCCGUCGUCAUCGUCGUACCGUCAUUUAUAUAUACACGAGACUUAUGACGAUAAAACUUUUUUUUUUUUUAAUUUACCUACCUAUUACUACGUUUUUUCAGCUUUUAUUUCAAAUGAAACCGCAGCCUAUUAAAAAAAAAACCCCCCGCGCACGUAUAUUAUAUAUGUUAGCUGGCUAUAUAAUAUGUAUACAUAUAUUGAAGGAUACCGGAAGAAAUAAAAAAAAAAAAUACCUACCUCAAUCCUUAAGAAAUAAAAUAUCGAGCCGAAGUUUUCAUUUAAAAAAUAAUUCCCAUUUUUUUUAUAAAUGCUAUUACUACCUAGGUAUAAAAAUAUUAUAAACAAGAGUAUAUUAUAAUCGAAACGCAGCAGCGUAUGUCUGUGGGUUGUUUGUUUUUUAUAGAGCUACUGAAGUAGCUGAAUGUAGUAAUAAUAAGUAGAAAUGUUUCGACUGGUAAAUUUGUAUAAUAUAAUUAUACUUAACUACCGAAUUCGAGCAAAUCGUUUUCCGUUCGUCCGACAACCCCAAUAUUUAUAAAUCGUAGACAUUAUCAAUAAGUCCCGUGUGUAUAGUCCAGUGAUUCCCAACCGGCUACGGUCCGCGGGCCUGUCGUUAUCGGUCCACUAUAAACGGAACUAAAAGAUUUUUGAAUAAAAUGUAUUUUUUUUUUUUUCAAAAGGUUUUUUAGUCCAUCCAAGCGCACAACUGUUAGCAAUGAUAACUGCUUAAAUGAUAAUAGUAAAUUAUAGUAAAUUUGUAUGACAGAAAUCUUUGUCGAUAAUAGCCAUCUUCGUAAGCCACGUUGAUAAAAUUAUUUUUGUAUAAAAGCCAAAAUAAAUCUCUCGAAUCGAGUUGGUUCAUGGCCUAUCGAGAUUUCUCUAAGUAGUUCAUAUAUAUGCUAUAAAAAAAAGUUGGGAUGCACUGCAUUUCUACAUAAUAUGCAACGCUAUUGUUUUGGACCCCUACUCGCUAAUAAUAAUAAUCAAUUCUACAUAAUAACGCGGUGACAAUAAUAAUUUUGCAAUACUAUAAUACUCUUAAACAACGCGAGAGGGUAAUAAUAAUUAGGGCAAAUAUUUAUAUAUAAUAUGAUUUCGCAUAUUUUUAUUGGUCGGUCAAAAACAUAGCUAUUAUUGUCUAAACCGAAAUGUGUUUCGUCACCUAAAGAACAAGGUUCCUAUACAAGGUUUCUACAACAUUUUAAUUUGGAAUUUUUGUAUUUUUAGAACAUUAUAGGAUAUAGUAUAGGUAUUAGUAUAGGAUUUUGUACAUUUUUAAAAGCGUAAUAUUUUAAGCGUCAUUUCGUAACAUUUUCAAAUCAACAAUAAACGAUAAUUACAAAAUAACGGUUCGAGAUGUAUAAUAACAUAAUAUUUAUUAGCAUGCGAUUAUUUUGCUUAUUUUUAUUUAGAGCAAAUCUACAAUUCAUAAUAUAAAAAUACGAAACGUUUGUAUUCAAUUUUCAAUUAUGUUUCGUUUUUUUUAGAGUAUGUUUAAAAUUCUCUAGGAUAAUAAUAUUUUAAGUACCUAAAUAUCCGCCUUUGUACUGUUAAAAUUAUAUUUCUCGAAGGUGAACUUGUCCAUAAUAAACUUGCGAAAAGACAGACCUAAGUAGGUAUUAUAUUCGUACAGAUAGGUCCAACAUGCCAAAUUAGAUCCCGUUUGAUAAAGGGUACUUAUUAUGAAAAUGAGCCGAAUUGGUUCUCGUUUAAUACCUAUAUAUUUAAACAAUAAACGCAAUAAAUGUAAGAAACUAUAAUUUAGUAUAUUUUUAAACUUUUAUUUAACUUUUAUUUAACUUAUAUCAUACUAUGGCGGGUAUUUUACAGUUAUCGAGGUGAUAAAAUAAUGUUAUAUCGGCUCAUUGCAAAAAUACCGCAAGAUAACGUCAAUCUCUCUGGAUAUGCGUAUCUAAACGGCUAUAAUAUAUACCGAAUAAAAAAUACAGUAACGUUUCUACUUUUUUAGUAUAAAAUCUAAGUAUUUCUAAGUAUUAAAAGUCCUAAGUCUAUAAGAAUGGGAAGGGAAAUGCGCGUAUUUGACUAUUUUACUGCGAACAGUGACAAUCAAUUUGGCUUACCUUCUUAAAAUACCCUUUUUUCAAAUGGGAACCAAUUCGGAUACACCCGUUCGUACACGGGCGAAAAGAGUUUUGUUUGCGCGGAGUGAAGUUAAAAAAAUAAAUAAAUAACAUUGGAAUUUAUAUCAGUAUACGAUUUAUACGCUGUAACACCUACACCUAAUAUUAUAAUGUUCUUUGUGGUAACCUUUUUUUUUUUUUUUUUUACCGAGAGGCCCUUCACGUGACUAAAUUAAUGGUUGUUGAUUUAGGCUUAUCCGGUAUUAUACAUUAUAUUAUAUACAUUUAAAUAGGUACGAUAUUAUAUUAUUUAAUAGGUAACGCAAACACCUUUUUUUUUUUCCGUCGUCAAUAAGAUUUAUUAGAUUUCAUAAAAAAAAAAAAAAACUUUGCACGUUCCGAAAAACCGACACACACGUUCGGAAAACUAUUACACUAAUAUAUCGUAUAACGUGAAAAAAAAAAAAAAGAAAAAAAGCUAUAUAGUUAAUUAAAUUGUAUAUUGUCAACAUUACGUACACACUGUAUACAUGAUGUUCGUUCGUCGAAGCGUCGAUUUAUUUUUUUUUUCAUAAAAAAAAAGAAAAAAUAUAAAACAUAAUACGGCCAUUCAAGUAACGAUCAAUAAAAACAAAUCUCCAAUUACAUUCGAUUAAUUCGGCCACGGGAAGCCGUACGGAGUUAUUAUUUUGGUAGGUACUCGUCGUUAUUUUAUAAUCCGUUUUAUUAUUUCUUCGCGACGCUUUUCGGCUCAUUAAAAUAUAUCGUUGGCCUCAAGGAAGAGAAGCAUUUAAACCAAUUUUGGGCAGUUUACUUUUUUUUUUCAUACAUAUAUAUAAAAUUGUAUCGUACGUAAUUUUCUAGUCUAAAUAACAUGCGUGUAUGUAUCCAUUUUAACACACGUUUCACUGACAAUUUAAAUAUCUUUUGUCACUACACGAUUUACUUGAUUGUUUAGCAAAGAGGCAUACUCAGAGUUUAGAAAUGUUUGAAAAUUCAAUUUGCUCGUAUUGAAAUCUAUGAAAAAUUGCCUAAAACCAUUCUUCUCCGACACAAAAGAUUUGUGUUAUUGGGAAUCGAUUGGACAUCGAUAAUUUCUUUCUUCGUCUAACGCGAACUCAGUAUAGCGAUUUAGACCAAUUUUUCAACAACCGAUCGAUGUAGCGAAGUGAUAAGAAUAAUACAAUUGUGAAAACAGAUUUGAAUUCAGCCUGAAAUGUAUACCCACAUGAAUUCGGUCAGGAAAUUUUCGAUUUAAUUUAAUUUUUGUUUUAUAUAUAUACAUAUACGGUGUUUUUAUGUUAAAACCUUCAUAUAAAAUUUUCAGAAAUUAAGGACUAAGAUCUUAGUUGAUAGAAAACGAAAGAAAUAUCCAUUCCUCGCCAUAAUAAUAAAAAUCGUAUAUUUUCAUGGAUUAAAUAAAUCAAACCAUUUUUUGUUAAAAAAAACUCUUUACGCUAAUAUUAUUUCGAAACAAUUACAAAAGCGACGAUAUUUUUUUGUUUUAAAAAACUAUACAUACUUUUACUAUGACUACUAAUACACAAUUGACGGGAAAUAGACUCUUGUUGAGAUAUUUCUCUUCUCUAAUAAUAAAGGUCCGACAACAAAAUAAUAAUAAAUAUAUAUAAGGUACGUUUUCUCCGUAUAUCCGGCUUCUUAAUAUUUUUUUAUUGUUCCGUAGUGUGCAUAUAGGUUAGGUAUACGCGUAUUUGUUAUAGUUUGCCAUCGUGACAAUAUUUCCAUGUUACAAACCGAAGACACGUCGUUUGUUCCCACCUAUUAUCACAUAGUAGGUACGAGACCGUUCGCAUCGCGUAUUAUUAUUGCGUGUGACAGUUGUCAUUAGUUCAGUAUAUAUUUGAGCAGUUUGUGGGCCUCCGAAACACUUCACAGAGUGUAAUAAUAAUGAUAACAUUGUAGACGAGGGGAAAAAAUUGAGAGAGAGAGAGAAAUAGAGAAUGUAGGUAACGUGAACGCGUAUAACGAACAAAAUCCGAUAGUUUUAAUUAUUACCAUAAUAUUCAGUUUUAUUUGUUUGAAAAAAAACUAAAACUUAUACAUAUAAUGUCAAAGAUAACGUGCGCAGGAAAGAGAUUAUAUUUACCCCCCUCCCCACUCAAUUAUUCGCUUCGAAAUUCAACGACUAUUAGUGAUGUUUAUUUAGUACUUUUUUUCGUGAAAUUAUGUUUUAGCCGAUUUAAACGAGGGAAAAAUCUUGGUUUAUCGAUAGAAAAUAGCGCUUUUUUUUUAAUAUGGCUUUAAAAUUCUCAUUGUCGGGUUUGGUCGUAUCAGAAGAAGAUUGUAUACGAUUUAUUCGUGAAUCAAUGAUUAUUAUUUACUAUAUCCAUCUUGUUUGAAAUUUCCGGCCACGCCACUGAAUUAAAAAAUUCAGAGAUUUUUUUGUUUUUUGUUUUUUUUUGAUUUGUUUGUUUGCUUUUGUCGAAGUUCGCAUUAAAAAUCCUCCGGAUAAUAAUUAUAAAUGACGCGAUGAUGCGAACGGAUGAAAGACGUUCUUCGUCUCCGUUGUCGAUUCGAUUAUUAUUGGACAGCGAUUGCAUGGUAUGGCACGUGCGCAUCACUUUUUAACCCAAUGUAUGAAUAAUAUGAUCUGUAAAAUAAUCUUAAUCAGCAUAAAAGCAAAUAGACUUGCGGACCGCGGCUGCAGCGUACACCGCCUAAUAUUAUACACGCUGCAGUAAUAGAAAGAGGGAAUAGAGUUGCAGCGCAAAAGGGAGCGCACCUUUUAGAAGCAUUGGGGUGUGACGGGGUGUGUAUGCUAUAGACAAAAAAAAAAUAGGGGACGUUAUAGACUACGCUAGACUCGUACGUGCGAGGGGUACGGGUGCAUGAUGGAAGAAAGCAGCUGCAAAACUUGGGUCUCCAAGGUUCAUAUAUUACCAGCAUAUAUCCUAUAUUUGGUCAGAAGCGAUAUCAAUUUUUAUGGACGACGUGUGUUUUUUUUUUUUUAUUUUUUUUUGUUCCGCCGGAGAAACGAAUUAUUUUAUUAUUGUCGGAAGCGUCCAACACCAUCACGCACGGAAAACACAAUACAUCCGCCGUUAUAGACUUUUUUUUUUUUUUUUCGUAAAAUUGAAUAUCGUAUAUUCGUUUCGAUUUUUUGUCAAUUAUGUUGAAUCGAUAAAAAGUACGUAUGGGGGUAAUAUACUUGAUCAUAACGUAGGUAUACUGCACUUUUUAUGAGUAUGUAGCGCGUAAAUAUUGCGAGGCAACUUGGAACUGUAUAGUCGCUUACGUUAAAAAAAAAAAAAAUAAAAAAUUGGAUCACAAUUUAAAUUUUUCACGUCUAUUUUUUUUAACAAGUGUUCAAAGCCGGUUGUGCAAACAGUGUCUAAUACACUGGCGGCGGUCGUAUACAUACGUACGUAAUACUCGUAUUAUCCUGAAGCGUGGAAAGAUUUAGACAGGUGCGACAACUCGACAAAAGGAGUGACAACAGUAGUACAUAGUAGUACUGCAGUAUUAUCGUACACGUCUAUUGUAAUUAACACCGCACCACAACACUUGUACGCCGACGAUUAUACGCAUAAUAUACACUGUAUAAACGCGAUUAGAGAGGAAAAAGACAACUUACUGUAUAUUAUAAUAGUGUUCUAAUAAUUAUUAUUAUAUAUACUUUGUGACACACGCGCUGCACCUUCUGAGCCAUAUGUGUCAAAAUGACAAAAAAAAAAAAUUUAAAACCGAAUACUUUUGUUGACUGAAUAACAAUAAUAUAAAAUAAUACUAAUAUUAGGUACCACCUAACCAGUACCGCUAUCAUAUAUCGAUUAGAACUACGUACCUAUAUAAUAUAUCUACGGUCCCAAGGAACUUAAGCCAAUUUUCUAUAUAGUUUUCAAUACAAGCUAAUUAAAUUGUAAAAACUUUACUUAACGACAUAAUGGUAUAAAUGCUAAACGGUUAAAUUACUCGACCUUAGCUAGGCAUUUUUUCGCCAAUAUACCAUACUGAUUUAAGAUAUUUUAAUUUUUAAUAUAAAAUAUGUUAGAAUAUAUACAUAUAUUAAUACCAGUUUCGACUAAAAAAAAAGUGACAAAAAUUGACUUCUUCCCUAGGAUCAAAGAUAUGUAGGUCUUUCGUCUAAUUUUCCUUAGAUAUAGAAACAGUUUCACUGUAUAAUACAGUGUCUGUUAUUAUAUUUCCCGCGAAUUUUGGACACUUUUAGCGGUUCCUUCUGGACCCUCUCCGACCGUGUUUAUGUUCAAAUAUCAUGUUUCACAGAAAAUACCUGGUUUUAAAUAUGACCCCUAUAAAGACAAACAUUUUAUAAAACUCUGUCAGCUAUAAUUAUUUUAGAUCAGUUAUAAACGAAAAAAAUAUCAAAAUUUUAUAACGGCAAGUCAGCUAGAUGAAAAUUUGAUUUUAUAUAGUGACGAAACUUUGCUGUGUACGGGUAUAUAUUUCCACCGUCACCAUCGAUCGGACGAAAAAAUAAAUUAUUACGAACAAAAAUAUAAAAAAUAAAAGAAAACCUCAUUCGUGGUAUAUCUUGAGGAGUGACUACAGACGCCCCGGCGGCAGCGCACGCAGACAUUUUCCCCGUUUUUUAUACGUGUCUUCUGCAGCGAUUGGAUAAAGGGCGUAGCAUGUUUACAGACGGCCGAUCUCAUCACCACGAUCCGAGAGAGUCAAAAGCCGUCUCCCAAGAUAAACUGCGCAAACAUUGCGAACCCACGAUGUGGUUACUUACGAUUAACAUCUUGCGGGGUGGGUUGCAUCGUAAUAAUAUAUAAAAGACCGUUCAAGUAUAUUAUACUGGGCGCUUUGUAAGGAAAGUUUUUUUUUUAAUUUAGAAUUUUGAAAAAGAAAAAAAAGUGAUACUUAGACUUCGACCAUUACAGUUUUCAUCGCACGUGUAUUAUAUUUAUUUACUUUUUUGGACUUUUCAAAUAUACUCAAACAAUGUAUUAUCUUCUCUUAUCGUUUAUUUACUUUAUGACCAAAACUAUUACUUCUUACGUUUAUACAAAACACUAAUGACUUUUUUUAAAUUUUUUGUUGAAUUUUCCCGAAAAUAAAGACUAUAAUACAGUAUUUCUCUGUAUCUAUGUCUGUUGAACAUUUAUUUUUUCUUGUUACCUUUAGACACUUUCAGCUUAGUACGUUUUCUGGAAAAUGACUUUUUAUGCGGUCUUUUUCAAACACUUUUUUUGGUGACUGAAUAGCUCCUUUUUUUGUUCAUGCAUAAUGCAUAAUAAUGUAUAGUACCUUAAAAAAUAUGUAUAUCUUUUUCUUUUUGGGCGAUUUAUCUUAUCGACUCGUUCAGUCAAUGAACUCAAAUGCCCUGAUCCCAAAGUGAUAAGUCCAAUAAAAACAGCUUCUACUUUAUAUAUGUAUACAUAGAAAAAUAGACGUGGUUAAACCACUACGCACGAUGCAAUAUUUUGGGUUGUUCAUAUUUUCCAGUCUGGUGCUGCAGAAUAUUAUUGUGUAUCGAUUCAUAUUUUGUUCGUGUCUUGUUCAAAAAAUUCGCAUCGAUCGUCGGGAAAUGCAAAACGUUAUGAAAAGAAGACGGAAAGGUCGCGAUUUUAUAGUACAUAAUAGGUAUAAAGAAACGCGUCUAUAGAUUCGAGGAUGCUUAAUAUAGUGCAGGCUAUAAGUGCUGCUGCAGCCAUAAUACUGCAGUAGGUACUGCGCAGGUGAACAGAAAAAAUAAUAAGAUCAAUGCGGUGGUUUUUAAAAGUAGACAUAUGUGUCUGAUGGUAUUUAGGUCGACCGCAAGUUAUAACCGUCGUCGUCGCCGUCGACAAAAACAUCGCUACCAAAUGGUGCGGUUCAUAUCUGGUUACUUUUGGCCUGCGCUGGUAGGUAUGAUAUUUACCGAAAGGAAAAAAAAAUGACGAUGAUUAUAAUAAAGGUGCAAUCGAGGUAUGAAAAAGGUACAAACGUCUCCAUUGAUAUAACAUAAUCUUCAUUGUCUCUCUUGGAAACGAGACGAGGGGCGAAACUCUUAAAAUGUUUUUUUUUUUUUGAUUUUGCGUGAUGUUUGUUGUGGUUUCGUCGGGGUGACACACUGCACAUAUGUGUCGUGCACACGACGGAGGUAGAGCGCCAGCAGGCAGCAGUAUAAUAAAAGUAUAAUAAUACAAUAUUAUUGUAGUGGUCUCGUUCUACAGACGGACCGGAACCCGUCCGAACCGUAACAGUCAUCACGUUUUCGGAAGACGAUAAAUUUCGAAAAAAAAAAAAAAAAAAAAAAAAAACGAUACCUUAAUUUGAUGGUAAACGCGACGGACAAAGUUUAAUAAUAAUUGGUCUAGGUACGUAUGUAUACCGUUACUAUAGCGUAAUUAAUUACCGAGGAUAUUAAUGUACGGGGUGCACGCAGGGUUCUUCGUCGUGGCCGGCAAAGAUGAAAAUUUGACGGGGGAGAAUAAAUAAUAAAAAAAAAAAAACCGUAACUAUAAUAGUACCUAUAUAUUUGUAAAAUAUAUAAAAACGUAGCGGUACAAUAGUCGUAUACCGAUAUAAUAAUAAAAAGGAACGUGCCAUAUGCGCGAGGGCGUGCGAUAAAAAUGUUCGGUUUUUUUUUCCUGAGGUACGGACAUACAAAUCGAUUUCCGUGGACCGUAUCGUACGCACAGUACAUAUACACGUCGGAGAGAGGACUCAAGUCAAAUUAACGAAAAACGUACUCACCGGCCAUAUGGCAUCACUCUCUCUCUCUCUCUAUCUCUGUAGUAUAUUAUAUAACCGUCGUCCCUUCUGCAGGACUACUAAACGGGACACGCGUUCUUUAUUUAUUAUUAUUUCACGUACUUACAUAUAUAUAUAUAUAUGAGUAUUAUUAUUAUUAUUAUUAUUUUAUAUUUUUUUUUAUUAUCAAUUUCGUCGUCGAACGCAAACACGCGAUUUCUAUUAGGUACUUACCCAUUAAAUACUGUAACGCGAGUACCUAUACCGCCGCCGCAGGUGUGUUGAAACAAUGCACCGUCGGCGACGAAGACGCAUACUCCAAACGACUUCUUAAUUGUUUUGGGCUGGAAAAAAAAACAACGACGACCAUCAACCCCUUGUGCCGACGACCGCUACACGAUGACUACGGUGUGUUUACCGUUCCGUUAUAAGAUCCGCCGCCGUGCAGAUUGCAAUCGCCGAACAGUUAAUUGAUUGCAUCGCGUGUGCUAUAACGUAAUAUAUUUCUAGAGAACCCGCGAAUAAACACACAGAGCUAGAACGAGAGGGUAGAUAUCGAUCUAGAGUCUCGACUUAAUAUUCGAAGUAAACGUCUCCUUUGCAAGAAUUUCUUCCGUAUUCUAUAUGGACUCACGGCGUCAUUCUUCGGGGCCCAGCUAAAAACCCGAUACCCAGAAAAUUCAAGCUUUCCAGUCUGUGCGCACCAUCUCAAAAGCCCCUUGAUUUGUAACGAACAAAUUUGUCCACGUCGACUUGCAAAUCAAAAGGACGACCGUCAACCCCCUAAUCCGACGACGACCAUUGCGGCGUGUUUGCCCCGUACUGUUAUAAGAACCGCCGCCGCGGAGAUUGUGAUCGCCGAACCUUUAAUUGAUUGCAUGGUGUGUACUAUACCGACGUGCGACUUCCUUGAGAGAACCUGCGAAUAAACAGAGGACGACUGAGAGGGUAGAUAUCGAUCUCAACAGUAUACGCAUAUAUACUGCAGCGUAAUUUCGUAUAUAAAAUGGGUAUUUCUUCGCGGGACACCCUGUACGUCCGUGAACGAAGACGCGGCGACGAGAGCCCGCCGGGGCCCCGAGGGCCACUUGAUUUCGAUAAUUCGGUUUCAAACACUUAAUGGACAAAACACAUAAUGAUAAUAACGUGCAGCAGUCACACGCGCGUAUAGCGGCCGACCCCGCGGAUAUUCGAUUUGCGCGCCAAAGACGCAAGUCGUUUCGCACGCGCGCGGGGAUUUUAUAAUCACGUCAUCCGCCCGUUUUGCGUGGCGACGGUCGCCGGCCCGAGGGCGUUGGAAUGGUCAAAAAACAUUAUUAUUAUUAUUAUUAUAUACUUACGACGGAAUAAUAUAUUUCCGUAUUUGACGGUUGAUUGGAAUUUCGGGCGGCGCGGAUAUUAUUAGUGCCGCGGGGGGUAGUCCGGGCUGCGGACCGUAUAUGGCGGCCGGCGCGCAGAGAGCGCGCGAGGGUCGACUCGAAAUCCGCGCGACGUUUCAAGAUUGGAAAAAAAAAAAGGAAAUAUUACGCGAACAUCUGCACGAGUCUUUUUUUUUUUUUUCUUAUGAUAUUAAAUAAUAUUACUUUUUUUAACAUAGACUAUCCGUGCGCCCAUACAAUAAUAUUAUACCUAUAGUCUGUUCGGGCUUUUAUUGUGUCUCGUCUUCGCCACCGCCGUCGCAUUGUUCUACAAAAGAAAACACUGACCGGGCCACGCGCCCGCGUUGCACCGGGCCCCACGUGGUCAUCGGCCGUCGGUAUACAUAAUAAACGAAGGCGAAACGAAAAAAAAAAAAAAAAAACAACAACAAACAAAAAUAUUAUUAUAAUCUGUGUCGGAAAUUUUCGAUUAAUUCGCGGCCGUGCUAUCGAUCGCACCUGCGAUCCGUCUGCAUUACGGCCGCCGCGGUCCGUCUCGUUUUGGACGUUUCGCGGGCGCGUGUUGUUAUGUCCGCGCCUUCGAGUCGUCGUAUUGUUUGUUGUUGUUUUCGCUUUCGUAUUUGGAAGAAAAGAAAACGGCGCACAAUGCGCGCACAAUAAUACCCGCCGACAGUAAUAUUAUUAAUAAUAAAUACAACAAAACCGAUCACGACCGUGUGUUAUGCGGUAACGUUGCAUUAUAUAAAUCUAUUUGCGCGUACGCUCAGGUAUUAUGCGGUGUAGGGAGUCCGCGCGGACGUUUCGGAAACUCCGCUGGGAGGUCGCGGCGGAUAUCGCGUCCGUAAAAAGUAAACGCGAUCAUAAAGACUUACGUGAAAGAGUCGUUUUCGUCCCAAUUUUCUACCGAUUUUGCGGAAACGCGUGAAUUAUUUUCGAGCAUUUCGACGGCCGACUUUCGAAGAUCAGACUUUUCUUCUAUGAAUACCGCCCGAUACUCGGUUUAGAGGACAGCUGGAGGUACAUUGCCAAAUUACUUCACCCGGACAUAAUAUAGGAAUAUAACUCAUUGUCAACGUAUUAUGACGUUUUCCUACCGUUCGCGCCCUUUUCGGCGCGAACUGAGUGUCACUAAAGUACAAAGAUUAAAAAACAAAAUAAACGUCUAGCCCAACAAAUACCGCAACCUUUCGCCGGAAAAAAAUUAUUAUCGAUGGAAAAUCGUCCGGAAGAAAAAUAACCCUACUGGAAACGUUAUGCCCAUCACCAACGUUAUUUUAUGCCCACUCGAUAGGCACGCAAGCCAAAAAAAAAAUAACUGCAUAUAGCGUAUUUAGGGUUGUCAACGCCUCCGUCGCCUUUUUCAGUACGCCGAUAAUCGUAUUACCUAUGUGCCCGUCCCUUUGCCCCGUUCGUCAAAUAUAUUUUAUUACUACGUUAAUUCGUAUUCGAUUCGUGCGCGGUCGUGAAGUGCCCCAUCUUAAAAGGCAAUCCGAAUGAAAAUCCCCGGGAAAAAAAACCAGCGAUUAGAAAAAAAAAAUCCCUAAACAAUUUUUAAUAUUUUUUUUUUUUUUUGUUGUUAUUACUCAACUAUCGAUAUUUUACCGAGGAUUUUUCACUACCCACACUGCUUUAUCUCUAAAAUCAGUACUGUGGUUUCGCAUCGACUAUCGAAUCGAAUAUUUGUUAUGGAUAUAAUGCCAACUUUUUCACGGAUUUUCUAAUCUUCGUUUUCAAGUAUCUGGUUUUUGAGUGAGUCUCGCGAAACUUCGUACUAAUUCUAAUAAAUAUAUUAUAGAAAACGAUAAGUUUUAUAAAAACCACGGUGUCACUUAAUAUAAAAUUACUCCGGCAUCAUCAUAUUAAUACGACACUGUGCACGUAUAUCGAUUUCCAAAUAUUCGGGUAAACAUGGUAUAUUAUUAUAUAUAUAAGCGUAUUCGUUAUACUCGGAGACGUCAAUCGAGCCCAAAAUAGCCCCUGAUAGCUCGUGUUUCAAAUAAUUAGUAAAUUAUUUCUUUUUUAUUUUAAAACGCUUCGUCUGACUACUACAUGAAAUCGUUAUUUUUAUUGAUAAAAUAUUCACGACAUAAUAAGACCGCGAUUUAUUGAAAUAUUUAGGUACCUUAUUAUUUUAGGACUGUCGACCCUAUACGCGUAUAUGUAUAUAAUAUGCAAUGGUAUAUAGUUCCGUAAAAAACAAUUAUUGUUUAAAUUAUUCAUGCGGUAUUUAGAAAUGCACAAAAGUACAACCGAAAAAACUGGUAACCGCACGGUUAAAAGUGGACAAUUGUCUUGCCAUCGCGGAUAUUGGUUUUUAGAAAAGCUUUUAUAUACUAUAGGUACGCGUAAACAGCAGCGGUACGACAUGUAAAAAAAAAAAAUGUAAAUAGUUGUAUUUUACUCGUAUACCUACUAACGAGACAAAGCUUUUAACCCGCGGAAAAAGCCGCAAAAAAAAAAAAAAAAAGGAAUUGUUUUAAUUUUAUACUUUUGACGAGAGUAUGCAUGAUGUUUGUCGCUCCUUAAAUGUGUAUCAUAAUAAUAAACACCGCGCCGCGUUUGUUUAUGCGAAACGAAAAAAUAAUAAUAAUAAUUUUGAGAAUAAUUUACGUUUUGUUUGGUUAUUUUUUUUUUUUCGAUUAAGUUCCGAGAAUAUUAUUACUUCUAAUGAACCGUCGUCGUAUAUUAUACGCGACUGCGGCGGUGGCAGCCGGGGCCGGUCGGAGCGCUUAAAAAAAAAAAAAAAAAAAAUGCGUAAAAAGGAUUGCGCCGCGUAUCAUCUAACGUUUAAACGUGGAUCGCGCGGGAAGGAAACUCGCGCGCGCGAAUAUGCAAGGGUUGUAAUGUGUAUAUAUAAUAAUAAUAUAUGUGCGGACGAGAUAUAUAAAGAGAAAAAGAGAAGGUGAAAUCCGGAGAGAGAGAGAGAGAGAGGGAGUGAGAGAGUGAGAGAAGGAGAUGGUAGUGGUAUGGGAGAGAGCAGAAGUAUAGCGGAGGAAAAGACAAAGGAUUGUUGUCAUCGGGAUUUUUAUACAUUAUUUUUUUUUUUUUGCCACAGAUGAGUUUAAGUGUUCCGUCAUUUAAAUUCGCGCAAAGGCGUGCGCAUAUAAAUAUACGUGUGUAUACAGAGAAAAACGAGACGCCGCCGCCGCCUCCGACAAAAAGAAAACAACAAUAUAUACGCGUGACUAUCCUGCGAAAUAUUCAAAUAUAUCUACGUACAAUAUUUUUACACGACGUACCACUGCUAGAUCCUCGCCCGCCCCUUCACACCCCGUUUCCGGCGACAUCAAUAGCGUUAUAAUAAACGUGUAUGUAUAUAGUUAGGUAGGUACGUAUAGAUAUACUCGCGGUGAUGUAUAUAUUUUCGUGCGUUAUUAUCCGUUUUUGUCUUCGGUUUUGUCCCCCCGCGUAUGUAAGACGCGCGUUACACGCGUUUAUCGUUUAUAAGAAUUAUGUUUUUGAGAACGUUUAAAAACACGUAUGUUUUCACCCAUAUACACGGUUUAUAUUUCGUUAAGUCGUCUCGGUGUCAUUAUCGCGUUUCCUGCGAGACGGACCGUCGUCGUCGGACGAAAUAGUAACAAAAAAUAAUAAUAUACGAUGGGAAAUUAAUUACAGGGUACGCGACGACGAGUAAAACAACGUCGGUCUUACCACGGAAUAUUAUUAUUUGUUAUUAUUAGUCGGUUGUUUUUUUUUUCUUUUUUUAUAGAUACCCCCCGUUUAAUGACGACAAAUAAACGAUACGACGAUGGCACCGGAACCGCGUCGUCUUACGGUCUGUUGGCCACUCGUCGUCGCGCGUCGUCGUCGUCGUCAUCGUGAUACGCGCACGCGCGCACGCGUGUGUGUUUACGUUAUGACGUUUUCGUAUUGUUAUUAUCGUCAUUAUUUUUUUUAUAAUAUAAAUUAUAUACGGGGUGUCGAAUAUUAUACAGUCUUGUGCCCGACGCGUGUCCUGCCGGAAAUUAAAACGUGUAAUUUUCGUCAUUGUAAAUGUCCGUCGCGCGCGCACGCGGUCUAAUCGUCAUCGUUGAUGACGAUAAUAGAUAUUAGUAUUAUUAUUAUAACAUCGGAGCGUCAUCGCAACAAGCCGCAGUCAUGUAAAAAAUUGUUUUCCGAACGGGCCUCCGGACACAGACCGGCGAUUUCCGAUUCCGAAUUAUACACGGUUUCCUUGUAAAUAAUAACAUUUUCUAACGGGUGCGUUUGCGUACGGACAGCCAGGACCCCGGAAUACCGGGGUAGUUCGAAAAUUCACCAGUUGGCUCUGCGAAUCGGGGGCGUCAUAUUAAAAUAUUUGAAGAUAAUUUUUUUUUUUUCCAAUAAAAUUAAGACUCAAAAAUAGUUAAUAGAUUUUUGGUGACACAUAAAUAAUUGGAACACACUAUUUGGAAGUAUUUGUUUCUGUAUUCUGAAUAGAUUUUAAAAAAUACUCUAACAUUUCCAUCGACGGUACUUGAUUGAAAAUAUUUUUCGAAAUUUCCAACAGUUCGCAUAUCCUUUUUACUUGUACUCCUUAUUUUGGGGUUUUUCUUGGGUGACACUUAUUUUCAGUUAGUUCCCACCUAUACAACAGUGAUGCACCCGUCCGCAGAUCAACUUUUUUUUAUAGAUUGUAUUCCUGUAUUUUUAACACUACGCAAAGUAUUCGGAAUAUUUUUAAAAUAUUUUACCCAAAUCUGGCUAAUAUAGGAAGAAACCAGUGAAUAUUGUUUCGGUUCAAUAUAAUAAAAUAUAAUGUUUAAGGAAAAAAUACUCCGGUCACUAAAUAAAAUUAGUCGUGCUCGUGUACUUAAAGCAAUUUGUAUCCGACACGACAAUAUUAUAGAGGGUCAUUGCGGCAACGCACGCCAAAGACGUAGAGCGAAGUCGUUUGAUCCGCCGCCGCCGAGACCAGAGUCGACCCAUUGUUUAUUAAUUAUGUCAUCUUCUUUUCAUACAAUGAUAAUAAUAAUAAUAAUAAUAAUAGUAUAAUUAAAUUUGUUUGCUUUUGCAGAGUCGUCGGGCCAUGUAUACAACGUAUUAUAAUAAUAAUGCUGCAGUUUGCCGCGCGGUAAUCUCGGUUCAAGAACUAAAUUUUUUUUUCUUUCUUUUGUCCUUUUUUUUUUUUUUUAAUAUUUUUAUGAUUAAAGUCAACGUGUCGUAUAUUCAGUUAUGAAGUUUUCGUUUAUAAAACAGCCGCCUUCAAUAUUAACGAUUAGUCUAGAAUCAAAACUCACAUGUUCCAAAAGAAAAUUGGAAAAUGAGUUAACACUGUUUUAUUGGAUUUUUUUAAAACGAAUCCUAUUUUGUAAUUGGUUCGUUUAAAACACGUUUGUGCUAAUAAACAAAUUCCACUGGAUCAUGUGAGUUAUCUUGAUCCUGAGCCCUAAUUAAAGUCGAUUCACUCUGAUGGUACGACACGACAAAAUAUUUUAUCAAUAUAAUUGUAUACGGUUAAUCCGUGGCAAAAAUCACCGAUCCAUAAUAUGAAAACUCGAGUAUUCCGUUUCAAAACUCAGAUGUUCCGUAGGUAUCAUAAAGUCGAAUCGCACACGUUCCAAAGUUCAACCUUAAACAAAAAUAUAGAAAACGCGGCUAAAAUAUUUUCGACGACGAUUUUGAAUUUCUUAAUCUAAAUUACCGAAGGAAAAUUAAUUUUGAAUUUAUUUAUUUCUAAUCGACUGCAGCAAACAUAUUCACGAAAACCGUUCGUCGGCUAAACUGAACCAAACUUCGGAGGUUUGUUAUAAGUAUUGUACCUAUGUGUAUAUUUGCAUAUUUAAAUGACUGAAAGGGAUAAUAUAUUAUGCCUAUUACCUAAUCUAUUACCUUUAUACAUAUUAUAUUGUUAUAACAAUAUAAUAUGUAUAAUAUGUCGACUCUUCGCCAUCGACACACGCGUACGUAUAGGUGCAAUAUGUUUAACAAGGGGACGCGAAAUGUAUAAUUACGCCGCACGCCGCCGCCGCCGUGAAAUCCAAUCUUGAAUAGAAAAAACACGCGGCGUUCUGGACGAAAUAAAUAUAAGACCCCUCCUCGUCUCUCCCCGCGCGUGUAUGUAUAAUAUUUUUUCAUUGUACUUAAGCAGAUCGUAAAUGCGCACGGGGAAUGAAUCUAGCCGCUGCCCUUUUUGUUUGUACGCGUAUUCGGUACCUAGAAAACCGUUAAAAGGUCUUUGUUUGCAUCGGUUAGGGGACCGUUGUGUUUUCUCUCCCUUUGCCACAGCAACGUACUCCCUCGUAUCCGAACCGGUUGUUCUCCACGCACGGCUGUUUAUGGAAGAUACUCUGUCCACGUGCCUUACGCGUGCCCCUAAAACGCACCCCCUGUGACGUCAAAUCUUUUUUGUUUUUUUUUUUUUCUAAAAUAUAUAUAUCCCUACGUCCAAAACACCCGGUUAGUCUUAUGACGUCACCGUCCGUAUACAUAGGUACCAACGUAUUAUUAUAUAGGUAUUAUACGUGUACGAAACGGGUGUGUGGUCGUCAAAGGAUUCGAAAUUAUCGCCAAACAUUAUUGUUAUACGCGACACAGUUCUUUUGCACGCACCCUUUGCUCUUGCUAUUAUUGUAUACGACUCGGUGGAUUUCUCUCGCCGCACGCGUGUACACCCGGCGCUCCGCGGCAACCCUUUCACUUGGAAUAUUUGUUGGAAAAUUACCGCGGUGACGACCGGUGUUCGAGGAGAGGGAGUGGAAAGGCAAGCUGCGUGCCGGCUACAUACAGAGACGGCAACCAGGUGGUUUUGUUUUUUCCAAGGGUGGGCACGUGGACACAUGCGCGUAUAAAGGUGCCAAACCCGAACUUGGGGAGUUUCGCCACCAUCUGCCUGUAUCUCUAAUCGAACUGUCCAUUGACUCGCUGCAGCAGCAGCCGUCAAUCUUCUGUAUACAUAUAUAUUCUUUCGCGCUGGCCGUCUAUAACAGUAUAAUUUAAUAAUAAUAUCUUUCGGGUCGUUGAAUUAUCGUUAAUCACCGAUUAGAAAAAUCCCGGGUAUAAUAACACGGUUCGACAGUGGAUGAUAUCAAUAAUUAUCUAUGUUAAAAACAAAAAAGCCUACGUCUAUAUUGGUCGUCUUAGAGGACGGUAUACCCGCAUCUACUGUCUCAGUCCCACUACGGGGUAACAUGCAAAAACAAUGCUUAUAUACGCAGAAUAAGAAAAACUAGAUUAAUUUUAAUUUAGAAUAAAAAUACCUAUCAUGAAAUUAUAGAAAACAAUAUUUUGGAGAGAAUGCCAUAGGAUUUUCGUAUUAUUCAAAAAAUACAGCUCAAUAAAAAAGAUACAAAAACUCUUUUUUUUUCCUUUUUUAACUGUAACUUUUUAAUAAUUUAUAAUUGAAAGAACACCUAUGACGCUCCCUGCGAAAUAUCGUUCUCUGUAAAUUUCAUAAUAGGUACUUUACUCUGUAAUCAAAAUUAAGCGAAAUUAUUCACUUAUUCGUCCUCUUAAGAUGCGUUUAUAUAUCAUAAUAUAUAGACUGUGGUGUAUAUUAUAAUUAAAUUAACUGCCGGCCGUCGUUGUUGUUGUUGUGUUACUUGUUGUUGUUCGACGACGGUGAUGGUGUCGAGGGGGGAAAAUGUAGAGUAGGUCGUCUGAGACGGAUAGGGUGGAAGACGAAAAAAAAAUCCUCAAGAAUGGCACCGCACGAAAAUACUACUACUACUAUAAUAAUACGUCUACACAAUACUAUAAUAUGUAACGUGACGUCACGGGCGCUCCUUCGCGGUUACGUCAGAACCGGUCGGAUACAGCUGCUGGUCGCGGUUUCUUAAUGCACUACGCGCAGCCGCGUUCCUUCUUCAUUCAUGGUGCACAAACACCUUUACGUUAUUAUCGUUUUACUACACGCCCGUAGGGAUCUUGGGAGGAAACGCAAGGUCGUCGUCACGGACGGUGGCCCCGCCGCCGACGUUCAUUCACAACGACGGCGGCGACGACUGCGACGAUGCACAAUAAGAAACGUCCGCUGCCGUCGCCGUUCAUUUAUUUCGCGAGAUUUUUUUUCCCCCUCUUCCUUUGUAAACGCUGAGCGUAACGUGAAACGCAUUAUUGGUUUUGCUAUACACCAUGAGCGAUGCUGUUUUUUCUACCAUAUAUAUUGCUCCGAUCUUCAUUAUUUCAAAGGUGGUUUAAGGUAUUUUUUUCAAAUUUUGGCGAUUUUUCGUUGUUAUUCGGUUUUAUGCGAAUACAAAUUUUUUUUUUUGCCCAUUAAAACGGUUUACGAAUUUAACACGCGAACGAUAUUAUUCGUUAAAAGCGUUUGAAAUACGAAUCUCGAUGAAAACAGUACAAAUCGCGGUAUUUUGCAUAUUCCAUUUUCCGAUUUGUACGGAUAAAACUUUUUCGUAAAAAAGCGAGACGGACAAUACGCACUGCAUAAUUCGAGUAAUUUCGUACGAUAUGUAAACUAAACUAUGGGAUAUAACCCAACGAUUUUUAUACACGGAGCGAAGAGAGGAAUGUACGGUGUUAUUAUAUGAUGUGUGUUUUUUGUUCGUUACCUCGUAUUUUCCGCGCGGCAUAUUAAGACGUCUACGGGCAUCGCGUUCGCGCACACACGCAGAGAGACAUUAACGACCUUUCCGGUAGAAAUUUCGUCUGCGCGACACCCAUUGUAAGUCCAUAAAGUCAUAUAUUACGCAUAUAGGAUGCCGGUCGCGACGUUAUAAUAUUACGUUUUUAUAAUAUGUAUAUACAUACAGAUACCGACGACGUUCUUGUAAAAGCGUAUUGUUAUAGACGUAAGGCAAACCUAUAUAAUAAUAAUAUCGUAUUUAUUCUUAUUAUUAUUGUUAUCAUAUUAUAAUCCUCGACGAUUUAUUGCGGUCUAUAUAAUAAUAAUAAUAAUAAUAUAUCGACGUGUACAAAACACGUAUCGACGUCAGCCAAAACAUAAAUGUAAAGACACGUUUUUUUUUCUACUCCCUCUUUACGCCUUUUAUUGUCGUCUCGUGUCCGUAACAAGCGUUUAACAAGCACCUACCGUAUAUUACACGCACAAUGUAUACUCGCUCGUAUAUAUACCUAACCUUACCUACCUUACAUGACAAAUGCGCCGCGCGGGUGCUAAAAUAAAUUACGCGAUCGCACAAUACCCGAUACAGUAUAAACACCGCCCCGACGGGGUUGUUUAUUUUUUUUUUUUUUUUUAAAGAAUUCGCCCGAAUGGCUCAGCACGUGCGCUUUGUGGCCGCGGAUAUUUCCAUUUCCAAAAACGGGCCGCCGCGCGUCGGCGUCAUUGUCGUAGUCAGCCGUAGUCGUUACACGCCCGCGACAUUAUUGCCGUCCGAUUUGUACACACCGGGCGACGGCGGCGGUCCCCGAAGACUUGUCGUCAAACAGGCGUUACCGGUCACUCUUCGCGAUCUCUUGUUAUACAGGAGUCGCUUUAUACAACUGCGCACAACCGCUCGCCAUCACCCCCACCCCCCCCCACCCAAUCGAGUUAUUUAAGUAUACACACCGGCCGUCGGAUAUAUUAUUAUUAUAAUAUUUUCCGCAGUUUUUAUUUUACUUUUUUUUCCGCGGAUGUCUUUAUUACAUUGUACAAAACUGGAAACACGGUGUAUUUCUGGAUAAAUCCAUAAAAAUCCAACAAUACAAAUCGAUAAAUUCUCGAUAUCGUAUUAUAUACAACAUAUUAUACCGCGAGUACAAGGACAACGUAAACACGCGCGUCUUGAUCGUGUACCUUUAUAAUAUAAUAAUUGGUCCAAAAAGAUGGGUUUUUUUUUUUUUUUUUGAAAAAGCAAACAUUUUUGGCAAAUGUUUUCAAACAUUCAAACAAUAUUAUUAUUGUACAAGUGUUGCGCAAUAUAUUAUAACCGACGUCGAUACAUAAAUAAAAUACGGCCAUCGGUGUCGGUACAUUUUUCUGCAAAUAUUUUGCCAUCUACUCGACGAUAUCGAUCUGUCACGUGCAACAGUAUUGUUGGUCCAAACGGAAGUAUGGUCUGGUUGUCUUUUUUUUUUUAAUUUUCACAUAUUUUAUUCAGAAUAAGUUUUAGGUAGUACACCAAUAUAAUAAUCGCGUUUUGAAAAUUCUAACAAGAAUCGUAAUUAUAUGUAGAUUGUAGAUACCUAUAGGUAUAACAAAAUAAUGCAUAUUAAUGCAAACGUAUAUAUAAUAAUAUUCGAAAAACAAGAUAUUAUAUUAUGCACUAGGAAAAUUGUUUUGAUCGGCGAAACUCCUAUCCAAAGGAUUGAAAGAUUUUAUAAAUUCCAGCAUUCUACGCUCAAUAUUGACUUGUGGGUGUAUAACUCAACUUAAGGGGACCAAAAAAUAAUGAAAAUUUUUGAUAGAAGAGUACUUACGACGAAAUAUGACCCUAAAAUAGAAUAAAACGAAACAAAUCAAGGAAUUUAUCGACUAUUCCAAAAUACCAUUGGCAGUACAUAUCUGAAAAGCAAAAGAUUAGAAAAAACAUUUUUACCGGGAGACUGAAUGGGAAAAGGCCAGAUGGUUGUCCUUGACAGAAAUGGGCAAAUACGAUAGAGUCAGAUUUUGCUAAAAUAAGGAACGAGAAUAGAAAACAGCAAGGCAGAGAGAGAACGAUGGAGAAAAGUGGUAGAGACAGCAAAAGUUAUGGACAGUAAAAUCUGAUAAAAUUUUAAAAAAUAUAAAUAUGAAAUGUAUUUUCAACCUUGGACAGUAACUAUAAUAUUAUAGUUAUUAUUUUACAAUCUCGUUUCUUGUCGUUCGAAUUGUCAAAACACAAUAUAAUACGUAUAUAAUAAUAAACAUAGGUACGCGCGGUGUUUAUAAAAAUCGAAUAACAUCGAAUGGCUUCACGGAUAGUUGAAGUGCACAAUUAUUGUUGUUUUCGUAAUAAUAAUUGAUGGUCACUAUAGAUUAGUGAAAUACCUCGUUGUUGUGUUGUUUUUUUUAUUUUUUUAUCAAGUUUGUUAUUUUAUUGUUAGAUUUACGUCGUUGCUGAACCAUUGCCGUAGUCGCAGUGUGUGUGUGAGUAUGUGUCGUGUGCUAGAUGGUAUUAUAAUUAGCCAGGAACUGAUGAAUAAGGACACGCAGGUCGGUAGCCGGAGGUGUGUUUCCGUUUCGGUACCGCAUCCGUGUAUAAUCGGUGUGUAUUAUGGGUACGUCGGAGAGAUAUAAAAAAAAAAACAACAAAACAAAACCAAAUGAUAAUAAUAAUAAUAAAAAAAAAAAAAGAUCGCGCGGUACUUUUUCGUAUAGUAUACCUACUACGUACCACCUAAUACCGCCAAGGCUUAGGCGGAAGGGGUCCGGCGCCGGAGACGCGAAGCUCGGAGGAGGUGGCGGCGGCGGCGAUAGGGCCGGGCCCGAUGAUUACUGCGCGUGUGGUCAGCGGUCCUUGAAUCCUUUGCCGUGCACGGUUUCCGGUGCGGACACGAAAAACGGAAGUAGAAAAACGCUAACCGAGUAAUAUAGCGUACUAGUAGUGCCUAUACUAUUACUCUACUAUAAUAUUAUAAUAUAAUGUAGUGAUGUCGUCUGAUUGGCAGAACGACACAAUCGGCGAACGCUGCGCGCACACGGACGCGCGUGCGGAAGGAAUAUACCCGGGAAACUCGAGGCCGAGCCCAUACGUACACCCAGUUCAAAAGUUCUUCGUGUGUGUACCUUACCUGCAGUAUACGUGCACACAUAUUUAUAAAUUUGUUCUGUCGGGCACUAUUGUUCAUUCAUUAGAAAACCCCGUACGCCGCCAUAUAAACUACUGCGGCAGCAGUACGACGCGGUGACGACAUUUGUUUAAAAGAAACAAGUGACACUUAUUAACGACCGCCACGUGUAAUUACUCGUUUAAUUACAGGAAUUGACUCGUUCGUUGUAAAAAAAAAAAAAGAAAAAAAAAAGUUGUCGUUAUUAGCCGCUGCUUAUAUAUGUAUACAAUUUUAUGAAAGGUGCCCAACGGCAACAAACACAGCAAGUUUACUGUAUACAAUAUCAUAUACUCUAGCAGCUAUAUAGUUGAAAAGAGAGAAAAUGAUUGUUCUAUUUUUUUUUUUUAUUUUUUUUUUUUUAAUUCUGAACGUAGCAAGAAAUUUAUUGGUUUUGGUAUAUAUAAGUACGUCGAUGUUUGCUUGUUUAGAUUAUUUGUUCAGUACGUAAAUAAUUUUUCUACCAGAAUCUUGCUCCAAUCAAAAACUUUCUCGGUACUUUCUCGUAGCGUUUUAAAUUUGGCUGUUAUAUUGAAUAGGUUAUUUUUUGUUUUCCUUAAUAAUUUAAAAAGACGAGAAACGGUGAUAACGGCUUCUAUCAUUUUCUAUUUUGUUUUUAUUGUUAUAAUCCAGUUUAAAACAAUCGUAGAAACCUACAAUUUUCACCGAACAUUUAUACUAACACUUUCUAAACGAUUUUCAAAACACGUUUUUAAACUAUUUAUAGCGGUUUGAAAUUUUUGAAAUUUUGAUACAACGUUCGUCAUGAAUUAUUUUAUGGCACUAUAAAAAUAUUGAAAAUUUACUGUUAUUAUGAUUUUAUAUAUGCGUUUAAAGUACAAAUUUACGAAUAUCUUAAAAAUCACGACAUUUUGUGCACUAUUUUACGAUUAAUAUGAAUAAAAUUGUUUUGACCCGACAAAAACUGCUAACAAUUCGAGACGAAAAAACACGGACAGUUUAAAUUUGUUUCAUUUUCGAUAGAAAUUAAUAUCUACAAUUUUCGAUUUAUUAAAACACUUUUAACCAAACUUUGCAAAGAAACUUUUUUUGUUAGCAAUGAUUUCUCGUUGUGCGUAUAAAUACAAAUUAAAUUAGCCCACAUACACCAUAUUUUUAUUUUUAUUUUUCAAUAUCAAUUAGAGUAAUGUUAAUAUUUUACACAAUUUUUUCUUUUAAAAAUUAUUACAAAAUCUUAUAGACGAUGUGAUGUACUUUUAUCACUUCUGAAGACACAUAUUUUUUCGGCUUACAGUCAAACGUAUUUUUUACGUUAAUUUUUCGCGUGUAUUAUUCACCCCUUAUUCGACUAUAUACGACGUGAUUAAUACAUUUCAACAUUAACGUGUAUUUUAACAAAAACUUCGUCUAUUUAUGGAAUUUUUAAUGCCUAUAGGUCGCCAUUUGAAAAUCAAAAGUAGGUAGUGGUUUUACCCCUAAAAAUAAUAGGGUGACAAAAAAUAAUACAAAUAUAAAAUUGUAGAGCAGCUUGAUUCUUAAUUGUUCAAGAAAACAGAUUCCGGAAAAAGUUAAUACUUUCCGAGAUAACGAGUGUCUUACGGUAGAUCGAUCACCCUGUAUAUAUAGGUACCUACUGUGAAUAUCGAAAAAUCUUGUACUUAAUAUCAUACUGCACGUAGAUUUUCCGCCGAAGAUUCGGAGCGUGUGAGAAUAUUAUAUUUUGUAACGAUAUUCGCGCGUACGUAUACAAGACAUUCGCACAUCUUGCCAGGGGUUCUCUUUAUACUUACAAUAAUAUUUUUCCAUUAUAAAAACGAACAAUAUAUUAUUAUUAUUAUAAUAUCGGUUCUCGGGCCGGUGUUUGCUGGACGCGGCGGAAUCGUCAUUCGGAAGCCGUCGAUACGCGUCUGGAGCACUACGACGCUACGCUACAUAAUAUAAUACUGCUCGCAUUGUCGUAUCGCGCGACGCCUUUUCCCCGGUGCACGCGUUUCGUUGUUCGGCAAACCCUUUACCUACCAUAUAUUAUACGUGCUCUGCACCCGUUUUUCGCCCAAAAACCCGGGGGCAGAUGUGUCGAACCGCCGCCACUGUAUAACAUAUACUCGCUGCAGAUGUCUUAAAGACACCGUCGUCCACGGGUAAACAACAUCUUGGCCCGCAAAAUCGAUAUUAUAAUAUAAAAAUAUAUAUUGUAAUACAUCGUAUAAAAGAAACGAGAGAAAAAAGGGUUGUUUCUGCACUACACUCUGUCACGACGACGACCGUGAGCGCGAUUCGGGUCAUUGUACCCGUAUUAUUUUCCACGGGUCAUUAUAUUGUGCGUGUAUGUGUGGGUGCUACGACUACGACGACUAUAAGGUACGGGAUGUUGUUUUUUGACCCGCGGGGGUGCCUCCGAAGAAAGGGUGCGAGUGUGUGCGUGCGAUAUUCGUAUACGAACCGAGUCCGCAUCUGCCUUUUCGAACGCGCGCGGCAGAUGUCUUUCAAAACGACCGGCACACGCGCCGGAGCCCGUAGUCACCGCAAUGGCUUUUUUUUUCUCUCGACGUGUUUUCAGAAGUACUUACGAGCGUAUAAUAAUAAUGCGUAUAAUAUACGAAAACCGCCUACCUGCGAUAGUACGCGUACCGCACGCACCGUAACCGGUAAUUAUCAUUAAUAAUAAUAAUAACAUAACGUAAGUAACACCUUUUCGGUUUCGUUUAUUGAAAACAGCGCCCGCGUCUACACGAUAAAAAUAUAACAAUAUGCAUAAUAUCGCGGGGCUGUAGAACAAUACGAACGAACGGCGACGACGACGACGUAUGUAUAAAAAAAAAUAUAUUAGAACAAUAUACGAGCUGUACGCGGUAUAACCGUGGUAAACAGACGGGACGACGAUGACGACGACGUUAAGUCUCGUCGUCGUUAAGUAUAUUGCGAACUUAUUAUUUCCCGAUUAUAAUACAUUAUCGUCUGGAUCGCUCCUCGCCGACAAUCAUCCUCGGCCUCGGUUACCCGAGAUUUAUCGUUGCGUAAAAUUGUUGCCGGACGACGAUAUUUUGUAUACAUAUUUUUUAUAAUAUGUAUAUAUAGCUGUUUGAUUGGGGAUCGCCGCGCACACAAUGGCAAUCCAUCAUGCGAAGCUCGAGUGUCCGACAUUGAUCUACUUUGAUAUAGUUUUUAUUUUUAUUUUUUUAUUUUUAAGUUUAUCGGUCUCGCAGAUGCGCGCGCGCGCUCGCGUUUAUUGUUCGCGUGAAUACUCGUCGCUCAAUGGUCGCGUGUCAGUUAAAAAAAAAAAAAAAAAAGAAAGGCUAAAUUCGGCGGGGUCCUGCAGAUGUCUGCUACGCCGCCGACGGCUGCCGCCGCCGCCGCCGUUGCUGGUAAGGGAUGUAAGUUAGUAGGGCAUGACGUCACCCUUGCAAAUGCGCGAGCGGCGACGUCAGACAAAUAAUAAUAAUAAUAAAAAAAAAAGAAAGGCUAAAUUCGGCGGGGUCCUUAAUGAAACGGCUCGUAAGGGGUGUGUGCGUCGCGGAAAGCCCCGCGGAGAGUUGUACGAGCAUAUAUAUAUAUAUACUCGUCGUGGCGCGCGUCACUGCAGUGGCGGACAAAAGAACCCAACACAAUAUUUCUUCUCCCUCGCCCCGUAAUUUCGGGAGGGUUCCCGAAAACUGGUCUGACCCUCCUCCUCUUCCCCCGUCCACCCUCCCCCCCGUCGUCCUCCAAGAUGGAAAUUUGCAACUUUUAAGCGUGUACGCGUCGCGGCAGAACGCGGGUUGGGGUCCGUCUGUCGACUUGUACGCGUUCACGAAUUGCAGCUGCCCGGGUGUGUGUCAUUCCCCCCCAAACGAAACGCGCGACUGUUCUACUACGGCUAGCUACUAUACUAUACGUGUACACUGUAUAAAAACUACUAUAAUAUUGUACACGCUAUAAUAUUUCUACUGUGUACGCCGUUUCCGUGCGGUACCAUUCGAUUGCGUUUCCCGCGCAAAAAUAACGAUGACGUCGUUUUGGACGCGACGACGGCAAUUUAUAUACGGGCGGACGCGGUCAGGGUGCUUGAAAACCGUCGUAUAGUACGAAACGCGCGAACAAAAAACCAUGAACCGUCGAGUCUAGACGAAAAACCUUUGACCGUUAUGUGCUGUUUGUUUUACGGAACAUACAAAAAUGAAAAAAAACCCGCGAAAAAUUCAAAUUAUAGAAAUGCAAAACGAAAUACGUAUAUUAAAAUGCCACGGAAAUACGUGUUCGUAAAAUUGAAUAUAUUCCUAUAUGAAUAUAUAUUUUAUAAACCGAAACCGAAUAGCCCAAGCAUUUUCCUGGGGGGGGGGUAAACUUUCAUAAUAUCGAUUAUGUACAUAAUUAGUAUUUAUUCGACAAGAACUUGAUUCGGGGGAGUGGGCCGAUUGAGUUGUGAUGGUAAACCCCUACAUCCCCACCCCCCAAUUUUUGCCAAUUCGAGUGCAGGUUCGUUUUGGUCGAGAAUUUCAUGUGUGAUAACGAUUGAUACCGUCAAAAGACCGGAUUAUAAUAUUAUAAUACGAUGCAUGAAUACACUAUAUAUAUAUAUAUAUAUUGCAGUAUAUACAUGCGAAACCAGCGAAGGAAAUCUGUGUCGAGUAUAGGGUACGCGAGCCGAGAGGUAGUCGGAGGGAGUGCGUUAAACGAAAGUUUCCGCGUUCGGUGAUUGAUUGUUAUUUGUUUCAAACGUUUAUAAUAAUAAUAUACACGUAUAUUAUAAUAAUAUGAUGAAUAAGAAUGGCGAGCGCACGCGCGUAAUGAGGAAAUGACAAGGAAACGCGGCUGCGGCUGCAGUAUAUUUUAUAGAGGAGCGAACCGACAGACGGGGUCCUGUGUGAUAUCGCUUAGACUGCAGGCUAAUAAUAAUAAUAAUAAUAAUAAUCAUAAUAGGUAUAUGGGAAAAAGACGGGGACCGGACAGAGCUUGUUUACUAUAUGUAUAGGCCAUCAUAUACACAUAGAGCCGUGCGGCGAGACUUGUGAGCAGCAGCAUCAUAUUUUAUUGGCAUGCUGUCGUAUAUACGUCAACACGUACUUAAUUUGUAUGUGUGUUUACAAGUAUAUAUAUAUAUUAUAGUAGAGACUAUAGAGAGAGAGAGAGAGAGAACGCGCACAGACAUACGUGUCAAUCACUGGCUGUGUUGCGAUCGUUUAGCGGAUGUCGCGACUAUAAUAUUAUAGUAAUACACGCACUAUACUCUGUGCGUGAUGCCAUCGCUGACUCGUCUUGUGCCCGACAGAUUUACACUAACUCGAGGGGAAAUCCUCUCGCCACCGUCACGUUAACACCCAAUUGUCUCGUCCCAUAUAGGUCUGUACAAUAUAUAUUAAUAUAAUACACUAACAAAUUGUUUUACCGCGUUAUGAUACACAUAUACAUAUAUAAUUUCGUCCCGAAAAAAAAUAAUAAUAACCGACAGACCUCGUUGUUGUGACACUUAUCAAUUACGCGCGAGAUCCCGGAGCAGCAGCAGCAGCAGCACGACUCUACAAAACAAGUAUAUUAUUAGGUAUUAAAAUAUAUUGUCGGUUAUAUUGCAACAGCACGUAUCUCGAAUUUGUUAUAACGAGAUUAUUAACGAUAUUAAAACAAAACACGUGUCGACAACCCUAAACUAAUUUCUCAGUUUGUUCGGUAUUUUAUUACGUGAUUACCAUUAUAUUAUUAUGGUCCAAUGUAUUAAUUUUCAAAGGAUAACACAAUGGGUGAAAAUAUUUGUUUAAGUCAGCAAAUUUGAUAUUUGGAGUCGGUAAAAUGUUUAAUCCCACCUCUCUGUCAGUUUUUGAUGGCACCGGCUCUAUGAAUGGAUGUUAAUAUAUACCGGACGAGAGACAGAAACAAAAAAUGCUGUCAGAAAUAGAAAACGAGUAGCAGGUUAUUAUAAUGAUUAUUGUUUGUCGGUUUAGUAUAGGUACUUUUAUCAUUAUAAGAAAAUUGCAGUGAGCUUCGUCCCCGAAGAUCCAGAGGUACCUUGAACGCACAUUACAUACCGAGACAUAUUGCCCCGACGAACAAAAUGUUGAUGGGCGGGGACUACAGACAAAUUAUAUACACGCAAAGAUAAAUACUAUUUCUUUAUAAACGAAUAUUAGAACUAUAAUUACAAUAUGAUGGAUGUAUCAAACCGUCCGAAUCCACCCUAUAUGAGAAAAACAUUUUUUUUUUACCCUUAUGAUUUCCUCGAUCGAUAAAAAAAUUAUAUAUAGAUUUCGUCGAUAUUUAUCAGAUUAUUUCGUUCUUCCAUCCCCAACCCCCAAUUUCUCGAAUACGGAAUUAUUUGUAUAAACGAAAUCACUGCGCCCCUUGGGAACGUCGCUCGUUGAGUCUAUACACGAUGCAAUAAUAAUAAUGCGACGGAAAAAAAAAAAAACAAUAAUGUUUCAAAGUUUAUAUUUUUUACCGGGGUUAACGUAGUAGUGCACAACUGCACACCGCCCCGUCGGUACAUUAUUACUUCACCGCCGUUAUACUACUGACCUGCCUUAACGGCACGAACGUUUUGUACGCUUGCAUCAUCGCUGGCACUGUUUCUGUGUGCGCAAUUUCGACAAAAGUUUCUUCCGUCCCGUCAUCAAAAAAAAAAAAUCCCGCACCGCCGCCGCGCCGUCGCCCAAUCGGAUCGAGUGGUGACAAACACAAAAAGAAAUUUGUUUUAUAUAUGCGUUUUUCAUAUUUUUUCUUCUUUAUUCCAUGUAUAUAUAUAAAUGUAUAUACAUUUUUAUACGCAUUCAGGAAAAAAAAAAUCACUAAAACACGGGCACAAACGCGCGCGACGACGACGAUGACGACGACGAGACGGAAGAGAGAGGGCAAAAGUCCACGCAAUAGAGACGUAAGACAUUACACGGGUAGUUUUCCGUCUCCGUUGCGCGUACAAGUACUUAUAAUCAACGGGGUGAAUCGAAAAGAGGGCGAAAAAAACGAGUUCAAGAAGAGAGGAAUAGGCGGAGAGGACGGAAUAAAAAAUAAAAAAGGAAAAAAACGAAGCCUCUUUUUAUAAUUACAACACAACCCCUUCUUUUCCUUUGACUUGUGUUUCGCAUUCUCGUCGUCGUCGCCAUCGCCGCCGCCGCCGCCGUCGUCAUCGUCAUUAAUCCGCAAUUCAUAUACCGUGCGCCGUUUCUUAAGGCCGUGGUGUAAUAAUUAUCCGGCAUUAAUAUUACACUACUCCGCGCGACGGAGGAAAAAAAAUAAAAUAAAAAUAAUCAACUUUAUAAUAUCAAAAAUAAUAUACCCGUAUUAUUAUAUACUGCUGCUGCUGCCGCUAUUUGCUACUGCUGCUAAUGCCACUGCAACAUCUCGGACGCAUAUAAUCACCGUCGGUAUUUUGAUAAAAACUCAUUUGUUGAUUGAUCAUUAUCUUAAUUAUUAUUUUCAACAUUUUACAUCAUGCACUCGUAUGUCUAUACAUACAAUUAAAAAAAUGUCUUUUUCUUCAACUUUUAUGUUUAUGUUAUAUAAAUGACAAUAUACAUAUAUCUAUGUAUAUAUCAAUAUAUGCACAAAUUGAAACGUUGUUAUUAUCACAGAUGGGGAUUUGGAAGUUCGACCCCGAAAUAUAAAGUACUCUAUAAUGCCUACAUACUUGACAAAAAAAAUAUAUAUAAUAAUGUACCAUUAAUUUACGGAGAUACAAAGAUGAUAAUUUUAUAUAAUUGUUAGAAAUCAUAAAGACUCGACGUUUUCAAUAAAUAAUCGGAGUUGUAACCGCCCAUAUUAUUGGUGAUUCGUUUUAAUACAUUUUUAUACGUUUAUACUUGGCUACAUCUCCAUCGAAAGUUAUCUGUAAAAAUCAUGGACGUAUACCUUAAUGGGUAAAUAAUAUGCAUAAUAUUUGUCAAUUGUAUAAAAUUUAAAUUGCGUUUUAAGCCUUACGCUUUUAUCAUGAAACAAUAUAACAGAGAUUAAUAAAUGGGGAAAACCGGGAAAAAACGGAAAAAUUUAUGAAAUUUAUUAUUUUCAAAUCGUAAAUAUUACGGCCUUUCAAAAUGUAUGUAACCUAACUCCGCUCAGAAUCGUUUUUCCUUAGCAAUACAGGUAUACAUUAUACUUACCCUCUAUCUUCACAACUUCUCACCAACAACAGUGACCCACCCAUCGUGCCCAUCGUAAUUAUUUUCUUUUUGGAAAAAAUGAUUAGUUAUUAACAAUAUUUCUAUGUAUGCUCAUGCACCCGUAUUAUUUCUCAAUAUACACACGCGUAUUUCGUAAAUAAUUUUAAACUACAAAAAUGUCAUGCUAUUUAAUAGUAUAGGUAUAUUUUAAUAAUAUAUAAAUUGAAUAAGGGGAAAAUAUCAAAAUUGUGGUGACGAAAAACCGGGAUCGGUAACUAUUAAUCACCGUUUACACUGAUCGAAAAAAAAAUAUAAACCAAUUUGUCAUACAUUUAGACCGGUGCACUCUUGCGAGUUUCUUAAAAAAAAAAACACCGAUUUAGUUUGUAAGGGAAAUCUAAAUCGGUUUACUUUAGCGAAUUUCUUGAUAAUACACACAACAAUAAAUCAAUUAACAUGACAAACUUGAGACCGCUGCGCGGCUGCGUAUAAUUGACCGAGCCAAAAAUAAUAAAAAACUAUACGACGUUGUUUAUUUUUAAUUGCUGUUCGUAGAUAAGUUAAAUUUAUUUUUCGUCUCGCGACGUAUAUUUUAAUGCGUGUAUAAUUGCUAAUAGACGCUAUGGGUUUACGUCAUUUGUAUUCCUGCGGCCUCUGAAUUAUAAUAAAAAUAAUACUUUUGAACGACUGUGUAUACGUAUACAAUAACCGUACGGGCGCGACUUGAAGGAAGCGAGGAAUAUCAAUUUACUCAUUCCCACAUCAGUUAAAAACAAUGGUAUUGAUCUUAAACACUAUAGACGGGUUUUUUUUUUUUUUUUUUUAGGACCGCUCGCGCGCGAGUUAAUUGAGCGGUCACAACAAGCAGUAGGACACUGUAUAAUAAAUAUACGAGCUUAUAAUCGCACGACAACGUGCAUAAUAUUAUUUUCUCACACGCUAAAUACACAUAAUAUAUAGUAGCUGGUAGCAUAAGAAUAGAAGCGGUAAUUUUUUUAAUUUUUUUUUCCACAUUACCGGAACUGACUAGACGACAUGUGUGUGUGUACAGUUAUUUGUCGUUGUCAUGGACACACUGCACGGUGACUGUGUGAGAAUUCGGUUUGGUAAAAUAUAUUAUCGUUAUUAUAUAAAUAUAUAUAUACAUGUUGUUUUCGUGUAUUGUUAUCCAGAAUCCAAUCUAAAGAGUCCCGCCGCUACGAUAAUAAUAAGGCACCCCGCCCCCGACCGAGUAUAACGAAUUCUAAUUUAUUUGCGUGAAUAUUUUAUAUAGGUAUACCGAUCAAACGAGUAAAUGUGUAUAGGAUAUUUCGUGUCCGCCGUCUCUGUCAAUUAUCCACUUCCUUCCUGGUCCGGUACAUGUUAUAGUAGGUACGGACACCAUAAUAUAACCAUAUGUUACCUGCGCUGCAGUGCGUUUGUGUGUGGACCAAACUCUCCCUUAUCGACGGACCGUAUCGGUUUUUAUGCGAGUGUGUGUGUGUGUGUUUGUGUGUGUGCCCGCGCGUCUGGUCAUUGACUACAACCGGAACUUUCCGGACAAAAGAGUAAUAAUAUUGCGCGGAGUAAUUUCAGUAGUUUUUUUUUCCCGUUCAAACAAUAUAAACAUUGAAAACGUAUUAAUAUAUACAUAUAAUAUAGGUACAUUAUUAUAAAAAGGUAAGGCUCCGUCGUACGUUAUAACAUAUACAUGAACAUAAUAUAAUAAUAACUACGUAAAGUUUGUGAAACGAAUCCCUUGAUGCAUGAAUAACAAAACGACGGAGCAAAGGGCGAUUAUACAUAUUGUACUGCCGGCUACUACACUCGUUGUAGUAUUUAUUUAUUCACCAUGUAUGUAUGUACGUACUCACAAAGAUAAUUAUUAACAAAAAAAUCGAACUCCCACGUAUGCAUGUAUAGGGGCAUUGUUCUCAGGCGAUUUUAUCGUUGUUACAUAUUAUGUAUUUAUUAUCAUUCGUUUUCCGUUCAAAGAUCGCAUCACCGAUGUGCAACAGCAACAGUUGCGUUUUAAUUGAUCCGACAUGAUUCAGCAGCAAAUAAAAUAAUAAUAAUAAUAAUAAUACGGCGAACGUGAUGAUAUUUUAUACACGAAUAGCGUACACCCGAACUGUGCGCGUUAUAUUAUCGAGCCCUCUCGUUCGCAAGAUGUGCAAAGUGUACCUUUGCGCAUACGGCCGACGGAUUUUCCGCGGAGAAAGACACGCGAUGCGCGACAAAGGUACCUCGGUAUAACAUACGUUUAUAAUCGAUAACGAUUGCCGAAUAAAACGGAUAUUAGGAAAAAAAAAAAUCAACUCGAACCGGUCGUCACCGCGCGUUAUUGCAACGGGUUGCGAUGAUUUGGCAAAAGUCGUAUGGCGUAUAUUAUAGACCUCGGGAGUACUUUUUACGCGUAUACACACGCCCCGCUUCUGGCGGCUGUGUGAACCGCGCACACAUGCGAAUAUUGCCGUUAUUAAUAUUGUUAAUACGCGUUUUAUUAUGUGUGUGUGCGUGUGCGGGCCACCGCCCCCGACCAGAGGGAUGACGGUAUAUAAACGGUCGGCCGCGAUGAUUCGGAAAAUUCAUUAAAAAACAAUAACGAUAAAACGGUCGCGCGGGUGCCAUAAAAAUAAAUGUUUAUCGCCCGAGUGUCUUCCGAUAUACCGCGACGCGUAAAGGGACAAAGAUACGUUCGUUCGUUGAUCGUUUAUCAUCUUCGGAAAUUUGACUGCGGAUUAUCGGUAUAAAAACAUUUCAUUGGUUCGUUUUCGAUCCGUGCUGCGAAUUCCCAUAUUAUUAUGCACAGACGAUACGAUAUUAUCCAUGCGUAAGCAUAAUAUUUUAUACUGGUCGACAAUCAGAAAUACAUUUCGUCGAGAUUUAUUCGGACCGUCUAAUUAAAAAGAAAAACACCCGUGAACAACGGAGCUCCGUCACACUUUUCCACAGUCGACUUUUCGUAGAGUCUUUAAUAUGAAUAUUUGAAAGCCGGUAUAUUUCCCGUAAAAACACGCAAUUUGUGAAAUACACAUUGACCGCGUAGAGGGUUGAAAGUUAAAACUCCUAAAAGUCGCAUGCUUACACCGUGUGCAUGCGAAAUUUCAUCCCCUGACUUCAGGGGUCUGUAAAAAGUAAUAUAAUAUAUAAUAAUAAUAUACCAUAUAAACUAGUAUUUUUUUUUUUUUAUUUUUUUUUUUUCAAUAUUCAGCGGACUGAGAGCAUUGCGAUAUAAUAAUAUUAUACAUUCACCGGCUAAAUUUCUAAAUGAGCUAUUACGGUGUGAAUAAUAAUAAUAAUAAUAAUAAUAAUAAUAAUAAUACAAAUCUACAAAUACCCGCUGAAAUAAUAAUAAUAUUAUAGUAAUAUACGGCGUGCACAUUAAAUUAAAUCCGUUAGGGUCGAACGUGGUGCAUAACGGCUUAAAUGAGAGGGUCGUCGUGCAAAAGAAUGCGGUAAAAUAGCGGCGUACAUACGUAUAUGUAUAACGUCGUCGGCGAGGUGGUAUAGUUUUUUUUUUUUCUUUUUUUUAAUUUUUCCUUCUUUCCCCUCCCUUCCCCUUGCCCGUUAAUUGGUUUAUUACAUAUGUUUUUGCGCACUCCGCCGACAAAAUCAAUCGGAUCUUUUUAAUUAUUAUUAUUGUACUGAACGGGUUAGGUAUAUAUGUAUAUAAUAUUAUUUCCACGGGCGGCGGUUAUAGUGGCGUGGUGUUGUUCAAUUAGAGCCGAGAACAAGUGCGCUGGUUGCGGCGGCGGCGGCGGUGAGAGACCCGAGGUAAAGUCGCGACGAGUGUGUGCAUUUUCAAACCCCUUUCUCCGCCCGUUUCCGUAUAAAUAUAUAUGUAUAUUUUAUAUAGUAGCUAGGUAUAUAUGUACCUAUAAUAUACGCGCGUGUCGUUGUAUACCUAUGUAUAUAUGUACUGACUUGUUCAUUAAAAACUACGAAAGAGCCGCAAAAAAAAAAAACAAAAAGAAAGUGGACAAAAGUCUUUAAGAGCGAAUUUGUACGACUCUUUUGUGGCCUGCGGUAUUCGCGCGUGCGCGCAUGCUCUCCGCCACCGUCACUGCGCCGCCAACACCACCUUUCCGAUUCAUUUCCUGAUAUAGGUACCUAUGUACGGACGUUAUAAAUUAUAAAGAUAUGCGUGUACGUGUAUUAUUGAUGAUAAAUCAAUAAUAAUUUUAGAUUCUGAGCGAAUCGAAGAAUAUGUAUCGACGGUGUUCUGUUAAAAGGUACUUUGGGAGGAUAAUUUGUAUAAAUAUUAGCUUAACUACAAAAUAUGUUUUUUCUCGUGGUAAACUCUUAUUCGGUUAGUUAAAAAUAAAUACUGAGAUAAUUUUUUCAUAACACCGUAACACAAAAGAUGCGGAUUUUUCGCUAGAUCAACAAAUUUUCUAAAAAAAUUUAAAAAACUGUCAACAAAAUAAUGUCGAUACAGUGCAGGUUUUAUUUUUAUUGAUUUCUAGCGAUUACGUUGAGCUAAAGUCGAGAUAAACAUCAUACCAGUUUACCGAGAACCGCUCAGAAUAGAUUUUUGAUCGUGAUAAUUUAUCGUGGCUUGAAAACUAAAUUAUAACUUAUAAUAUAAUAUCAACUAUACCUUUUAAACUUCCCACGUACAAUAGCGACCUACCCUGCACUGUACGAAGUGUGUCCGUCGUUUUAUUUAUCAUAUACAAUAUUUCAUAAUAUAAUAAAACCCGGAAGAAAAACCAUCGGUUGAAUGUUUCGUUUUAUCAUACUGCAGUAGGUAUUUGUAGGUAUGUAUAAAAAAAAUCUCAACUUUCGGGGAGAUUCAAACCUAUACGAACCCUCCCCUUAUCCCGGUUGUGCCACUGCACGCUAACAGUAUCGUUUUUUUUUUUUUUUUAAUUAACCGUUUUGCCGAUCCGCUAAACCAGCCAAGUCCAUCAUAUAUGGUAGAGAACGCGAGACUAAAAUAAAAUCAUAUUAUAUAUAGGCGGGUACACGCGUUCUUAAGACGUAACGGAAAUACGUACUCGUGUACAGUACCUACAUAGACGCUUAUUAGUCGUACGGGGAAAAAAAAAUAAUAAAGAGAGAAAGAAUCGUUUCGCAAUGUACAAUAUAUAUUAUUUUAUUAUACUCGCGUCGAAGAGUGCCCGCAGAAUCGGUUGUAUACGUAUGUGUGUAAAAAAAAAAAUCAAAAACGACCGUUAGAAGGGUGCGAACCCCUAUGUAUACGUAUAUAAAUAUAUGCUUCUCGCGCGUCUUGAAGAUAUUAUUAUUAUUAUUGCUAUUGCUAUGUAUACAUGGGGGACCUUAUACAGGUAUUGUUAUUUGCCGGCGAAAAGACGUUUUAUAUUGUGUAUAUCCGGGGACUAACCCUCGGUGACUUCCUUACAAGACGCGAGGAAAAAACCGUUACGCGAUCGCAAUAUACAGCGGUCUUCCCGCGUGUUUCCCACGAGCCAAAGGCGUUCCCGUGCCACCUGGACGCGCGUUCCGCCCCUCUUUCUUUGGCUUUUGCUUCUUGGCGUUCGUCUUUUGCCCGGCUCCCGGACCGGUUUUACUUCUUAUAUAUCUAUUAUAUUUUUAUGUAUGUGUGUGUGUGUGUGUGUGUGUGUUAACACGUUAUUUUUUUCCCCUCCGACGACAACGCAUGUAUACAAUAUUUAUGUUCGCGUUUUGAUUUUUACGUUACACGUCGCGACUGUAAUAAUAUUAUACGCGUUCGAUUUUUAUUGCGACAAAAUAAAAAAAAAAAUUAAGUUAUUUUCCACGACCUAUUAUAUUUUCUAUGCGUAUGUCCAAAACACAGAAAUCUCGCGUAUCGGAUAAUAUUAAGAUUUUACGUAAAAUUCAAGAUAUUUGAAGUUCAAUAUUGUGUUCGUGUUUAGAAAAAAAAAAAAUAAAACAGUGAAUGUUAAAAUUAAAUCGUUUUAAAAAUAUAAAUACGUAUCACGAAACUAUAUCACACACUACUACAUGACCAAUGACGUGCUGAAAAUAAUUUUCUUGAGGAGCCCCGACUCCGUAAAAAUAUAGGCGAAUGUGUGGAUAAGACAAAAACUGAAGACCAAUACAUAAUAAAAAAGGAAUUUGAAUACGUCAUAAUAUUCAUAGAUUGUAAUGAUAUUGUACGUAGGUAUACAUAAGAAUUUUAGUAGGCGUGUAUCCAAAUAAAACGAGUGGUUUGGUGGGUGUAUACAAAUCUCGAUUGCUUAAGUAAACGUAUAAUAAGUUCAAAACGUCACCGAACGCGUAAUAUUGUAUCGGUUUUAAACUCGAAACUCAAAAUAGUGACUUUUAUUGUAAUCGAUUGGUAUAAUAUUUAAUAAUAAUCAAUGAUUAAUAUGAUAUUACAUGGGUACGUACCAAACAUACAAACAUGUUUCACAACAAAACGCCGUACACGUUUAUAAAGACCGUGUUAAACGCGGUAAAACAAACGCGUGUAAACAUAACAACGAUAGUUUACCGCGGUGUUGCGAUGACAGAAUCGAAAAAAUAUUAUUUCAAAAUUUAAUGACAGCAUUUUGUUUUCUCUGAACGACGCGUUAGCAAACGAUUAUAAACCGAAAAAAAAAAUAAUCGAUAUAAAAGAUGUGCGGAUAUAUUGCGGCAUCAGUGGCGGCUCGAAGGAGGUGUAUAUUUAUUUUGAAUCACGUGAUUGACAAAAAGCCGGUUGGGCGGGUCGUGAGUGCCGGACGUCCGGAAAUAUAACAAAAAUUAUUACGUUUCUACAAACAAUAUGCAAAGUCAUUAAAAGAAUUUUCGACUGCGGAAAUUCGAUAGAAUUGGCGGAUUUUAUUGAAAUUCAACAAAUACCUUUGCGGUAGGGUGGGGGUAUUUUUUUGGUCAAGGAGGGGGGGGUGGGUAGACAAUUAUGUCGGUGAUUCGGGGUGAAAAUUCGUCGAGCCGUCACUGUGCAGCGCUAUUUUUAUAUUAUAAUAUCCGCGGUCGGUUUACCUAUAUGCAUAAUAUAAUAUAGUAGUUGGGUGAAAUUCCGAAAAAUCAAAAUAAAUAAAAAAAACAAUAGUAUUAUAAAUAAGAGCGUAUAUCUGUAGGAUAUUUGACGGUUUCCGUUGCACAAUAUUUACAUAAUAGGAAAUUUUCAAAUCCUGCAGAAACGUCGUCCUGUUUAUAUAUAUAUAUAUAUAGGUCAUAUACGCGUACGCUAAACGGGUUAAAAUACAAUUUUAGUUAAGUACUACAUUAUGUUGUAAUAAGUUAUGACGUUGAAUUAAAAAAAAAAAAAAAAAAAAAAUAUUAAAAAAACUCCCGACAGGUUACGAACGAUCGGAUAGUACAAAAAUCGACAAAUUAACACGAUUCGCCGUGCGAGAUUUAGAUACCUAUAACGCAUAUAAUAUAAACGAUUAAAAAAAAAUAAUAAUCAAAUAAAUAUACAUGUUGUAGUCGUUGAAAAAACUUCAACACGAAUAUUGUAGAAAUUAAUUAUAACCGCCGCCGCGUAUAUAACCUAAUAACGCGCUCGCGUAAUUUAUACGGUACAUACAUAAUAAUAUAUUGAAUAAUAAUAAAUAUUUGAAAAGGUUAAAUAGCUCUACAGCUGGCGUAAACUUACUGUACAAAUUAAAGUCAAGAAAAGUAUGCGCGCGUUUUUUUUUUUUUUUUUUUUUUAAUAUGGCGCAAUUUGAUUUAUGAACUAAUUGCAGGGAACGACAUUUUUUCGAAAUAAAUCUAUAUACUCGUAUUAUAUACCUACCACCCAUACAAAGUGUACAAGUGUACGUGUAUAUUAACACGCGUUGAUUAAAUAUAUAUAUAUAUAUAUAUAUAGCUAACACAAUUAGACCAAUAUAUUAUUAUAUUAUUUGCUUAUAAUUAUUUUUAUGUUUUGUUUUUUUGUGUUCGCUAAUGGAUAAAAUCUGUGAUGUGAAAUAUUUAAUCAGCUAUUUUACUUUGUUCUAAAUUAUAUAUCCAUUUAUAUAUUGCACGAUGAUACCCGCACCAUAAGAGUAUUGAGUUUGUAUAACACGCGAAUUUUCCACACGGUUCGUUAGACGAAAAAUCGAAAAUCAAAAAAAAAAAAAAUACAAUUUCGAGUUUUUAUAAAAAAUCAUAUUACACGUUUAUAUUUUUUUCGAUCGUUCGAUAUAUUAUUAUUAUUGUAAUUGUAUAAAGAAGAAACUCCCGCUGUUCGAGUAUGUCCGUCGCCUAUAUUAUAUACCUUUAUAUAUAUGCGUAUACUAGAACGUUUUUCGUAUAAUAUGAGUACUCCGAAGAAAGGUAAAAAUAUUAUAAUGUUCGCUGUUAAUAAGAUUCGAUUUUUUUUUUAUGUACUAUACUAUUGGUAUAUAUUUCUCCGGACCGUAAUUCGCCUGGAAAAUAAAACCAGAAAACCGUGUUUGUCCGGACAGUAAAUCGCUAGGAAAAAAAAAACAACCGCCAGAAAACCGUUUUCGACCGAACCGUGUAAUUCCGGAAUUAAUGUUACAUAGCUAUUUUUACUUAAACAAACGUACAAAUUCCGGACGAAUUCGGUUUUCAGAUUACCGGGGGGAAAUACAUUCCGGAUAAAUACGGUCCGGCGAUGUACUGCAGUUAGGAUAGUAGGGCGUAUUUUUUUUUUACAUUUUUUCCUGGGAGGCGGACACAAACGUUUUCAUUCACUAAUCCGUUGUAUUCGUUAUAAAACAUUUUUUUUUUCCAAACAAAAAUCUUGCUAAUAGCCGUUUUACGUUAUUAUCCACGCAACAUUAUAUUAUAAUGUAUUCUCGAUUCAAAAUUAUCAAUUAACAUCCGUACAUUAUAAUGUAAUAAUAUUUGUACACAAAAUUCCAUCCCCUGCAGUUCCGAUCCCUAUAAAUACGCCACUGAUUCUGGAAAAUACGCUUUUCGCUCUUUUUCAACGUAUAAUUCCGGACAAAUUCUGGAUUUAUUUAUUAAAAAUAAUCUCGUUUGCUUACCACGGAAUAAUAUGGCCUACCCGUUAUAUGUUAUAACUGUGUAUACCCCGAGCAGAAACGUCUAUCAAUCCUAAACGAUAUUCCUAUUAUAUACCUAAUAUUAUACUAUAUACGGGUACACCAAAAAAAAAACUUGUUGCUUAUUAUUAUUAUUAUUAUGUUACCGUUUAAGAUAUUAUAUGUAGUUCCGGUCGUAAGAUUAUCGAUUAGUCUCGAGUGUGAAAUUUGAUUAAGUGCGUUUUGGCCAUUAAUACCCUACACGGUGUAUAAUAUAUAGGUACUAUUAAUGCUGCUGCUGCCGCCUCGGCUACGGGUCGGGCAGAAGCAGAUGCGUUGGGUUUUUUGACAUAAGGCACGAGCCGCAGGGGUAUUGUACGCCCGACACAUAAUAGCGUGUGUAUGUGUGUGUGUGUGUUUGUGUGUGCGAGUACAGUAUUUUAUUGUACUUACGUACACGCACACACGCUCGUAUAUUUCUGUACAUUUGUGCGUGUGUAAAGUAAUACUGUAAUAGUAGUAGUAGUAGUAGCAAUUGUAGGUGAGUGGCAAUAACGGCGGCGGCGGCGGCGUCGUCGUCGUAGUGCCGAAUACAUAUAGUGGCGAGUUUAGUGGGGUUUUGUGGGGAGCAGAAAAAGAAAUAAUAAAAAAAAAAAAAAAAUAAUAAAAAUUCUAACAGUUGUUGUUAUAAUAUAAUUUUGAUCGUUUGUGUGUGUGCAGGUGAUCCGGUUGAUGCGCGAAGGAAGGGGACCACCAAUCGGAGCCGGCUAUGUCAUCUGAGGAGGACGGCGGCAACGG
rnacentral:lncRNA from 1 species